CCCUUUGAAGAUUCGAGAGGAAACCAACCGAUCCAUUGCCAUUACUACGAACAGUGGAUAUAAUUAUCACAUCCUCUUCACCACCUUGAAAACCAUCAACGGAACGUACAUUCACAGAGAAGUCACUCUUAACAUCUGUGCUAUAUUUCUUGCCAAGAAUUUGUUGAAUAGCAAAAACAUGAGCCUUGUAAGGAGAUAUACAUCCAACACGGACUUUUUGUUUCGAAGAGUAUUCUGUAGAUAAAAUAAAAUUUAUCAAGUAUGCAAACUAGUUUGUUCAUUCUAGGCAAAAACUAAAUCCUUGAAAGAUAAGCGCAUUACCUUUAUGAUGGUUGGCAACUAUCUCAGCUACAACGAAAGCUUCUGCCUUAUUUCUCGAGCUAUGUUUGUCAUCAUGCUCCUCAUUUCUGAUGUGGAAGUUCAGACUGUACUGUAACCACAGAGCAUACUCAGAUAAAACCUUGGCUCUGAUACCAGUUUGUUGGGAAAAUGCGGACAAACACAAAAAUAUAUAUGGUCAAAGUGAUGGAAAUAAAAUGGGAAAAUAAUGAUACCAAGAAUUUUACGUGAAAACCCUUUUAAAUAAGGGAAAAACCACGGGCCAAGAUGAGCAACUGAUAUCACUAUAGUAGGAAUUUUACACUGUGUAGUCACGAAUACAAUACUCAAAGUGACUAAUACACACUAAAAAAGAAUAACACUCUUUUGAUUUUCACCUUACUAAAAUAUCGCUCACAUUCUAUUUUUCUUCACAGACUAUUUUUCUUAUAUAGUCUAUGGAAUACCUCACUUUGCUAUCAAAAUGGUUUUUUUCUCUCUAACUUGGUGUGUUCUACAAAUGAGCAAGAAUGCUCUAUUUAUAGAAGGAGAAAACCAUGCCUAUGUCACUAAUGACAUAGACAAAUGUAACAAAUUUCAAAGGUAGGUUGCAAAUCUUACCAAUUUGCCAACCACCAAAUCUUUUAUUUUCAACUCACAUUUGUUGUCACUAUUCCUUUUUAACAAUUACUUGUAGCAAUUGAGUAGCAAAAAUUGACUAAUGUAAAAACAUGAGAUGGACCUCACAAAUCUCCCCCUCCAAUCUCAUGCACUAGAAUGAGGUAUCUCUAUCUUCUUUAAAGAGAGAUCAUACCCACAAGUUCUUUGCAUAACUCGAACUUGUCUUUCAGUAUCGUCUUGGUCAGCAUAUCUGCAGGAUUUUCACUUGUGUGGAUCUUUUUGACGUGAAAUAAUUUAUUCUCCACUUCCUCACGAAUCCAAUGAUAUCUGACGUCGAUGUGUUUUGUCCUUGAAUGGUACAUGGAGUUCUUGCUCAAGUCUAUUGCACUCUGGCUAUCACAAUAGACAAUAUACUCCAUCUGAUGCAAACCAAGCUCUUGAAAAAAUCGCUUUAGCCAUAUCAUCUCAUUGUCGGCUUCAGUAGCCACAAUAUACUCAACUUCAGUUGUAGAUAGUGCAAUACACUUCUGCAACUUCGACUACCAUGAUAUAGCUCCCCUUGAAAAAGUAAACAAAUAUCCAGUAGUGGAUUUUUUGUUAUCAAGGUCACCUGCUAUAUUAGCAUCUUUAGCAUCUGUAUAGCCCUUCAAGAUUGGAUCUGAUGCUUCAAAACACAAGCAUUCAUCUGAGCUUCCUCUAAGAUACCUGAGUAUCCACUUCACAGCUUCCCAAUGCUCUUUUCCCGGAUUGUCGAGAAAUCUGCUGACAACACCAAUUGCGUGAGCAAUAUCAGGUCUAGUGCAUACCAUUGCAUACAUUAGACUUUAGACGGUGGAGGAAUAUGGAAUUUUGGCCAUGCUCUCUUUUUCCUCCCUAUCUGUAGGACACAUCUUCUUGCUCAACUUCAUAUGACCAGCAAGAGGUGUGCUGACAGGCCUAACAUUCUUCAUAUUGAAGCGCUCUAGUACACGUUCAACGUACUUUUUCUGUGACAAAUAAAUCUUCCUUUCAUCUCUAAGACGAGUAAUACUCAUGCCCAAAAUUUGUUUGGCAUGACCCAAGUCUUUCAUAGCAAAAGACUUACGCAACUCUUUCUUCAAGUUGUCAAUUUUGGAAGUAUUCUUGCCCACAAUCAACAUAUCAUUCACAUACAACAAGAACAAGAGGAUGAUAAAAUCAUUAUCAGAAUUUUUUUGUACAAAUACACAAUGAUCUGAGGAGGUCUUCUUAUAGCCUUGCUCCCCCAUAACAAAUUCAAACUUCUUAUACCACUGUCUAGGAGCUUGCUUUAAGCCAUAAAGACACUUUUUGAGUCCCAAAACUUUCUUUACCUUCCACUUUGAAGCCCUCAGGUUGUUCCAUAUAAAUCUCUUCUUCUUGGUCACCGUGAAGGAAAGCCGUCUUCACAUCCAUCUGCUCAAUCUCUAAAUUAAGACUAGCAGCCAAACCCAGAACUGUACGAAUCGAGGACAUUUUCACAACAGGAGAAAAUAUUUCAUCAAAGUCAAUACCAUUCCUUUUACCAAAUCCCUUAACAACCAAUCUAGCUUUGUACCUGAGCUUCAAGUUGUGUUCUUCAACCUUCUAACUAACCUCUUCGAUUUCGCUUAUCCUAACAGUGAUAGAUUAGGCGUAUUCUCAUGCAUAGAAUUCAUCUUAUCUUGCAUGGCUUCAAUCUAUUGAUCCUUGUGCUCAUCUUCCAUGGCCUCCUCAUAACAUUCAGGUUCUCCCCCGUCAGUGAGUAACACAUACUCAUUGGGUGAAUAAUAAGAGGAAGGAACCCGCAGUCUUGUGGACCUCCUAAGCGGAAUAUUUGAUUCGUCCACAACUUCAUGAGCAAGAGGAUCAUCAAUAACAAUAUCAUUGGUAUUAUUAACAUCAACAUGUUCAUUCGAUACAUGAUUGUGGGCUUCACCAUGAUCAUCAAGCCCAACAACAUCAUGCAUACUUGUGUGAGGAACUUCAUCUAGAUGAACUAUGCCAUCAAAACUUGAAGAUUCUAUCUUUUCCACUUUGUCAAUAUCUUCAAUUGUUUGAUUCUCUAUGAAAAUAAUAUCACGGCUUCUCACGAGUUUCUUCUCAAUUAGAUCAUAUAGUCUGUAACCAAAUUCAUCAAAGGCCAAUAUCCAAUGAAAGAUGCAUUGCCUUAUCUUGGCAUCUAACUUUGACCUCUCAUCUUUCGGCACAUAUACAAAAGCUUUGUAACCAAAUACUCUCAAAUGGUCAUAGGAAACAUCUUUUCCAUACCAAACACUAUUUGGUACAUCACUUUGCAAAGCAACAACAAGAGAUAGAUUAAUAACAUGUGCAACGGUCAAUAAAGCCUCAUCCCCAAAUGAGUUCGGCAACUUUGCUUCAGAAAGCAAACAUCUAACUCUUUCCAUCAAGGUCAUGUUCAUCCUCUCAGCCAAACCAUUUAGCUGAGGAGUCUUAGGAGGAGUCUUCUGGUGUCUAAUACCUUGAUGUUUGCAGUAUUCGUCAAAUGGUCCACAAUAUUCACCACCAUUAUUAGUACGAAUACAUUUCAGUUUCUUUCCAGUUUCUCUUUCAACUGAAGCAUGAAACUGCUUGAAGACACCUAACACUUGAUCUUUAGUCUUCAAGACAUAGACCCAAAUUUUCUCGAGCAGUCGUCAAUAAAAGUGACAAAGUAGAGUGCACCACACAAUGUCCUUGUCUUCAUUGGACCGCAUAAAUUAGAGUGCACCAAUUCAAGCAACUCUGUCAUUCUUGAAGGGGGGUAGGACUUAAAGAAAACUCUAUUUUGUUUACCAGCCAAGCAGUGCUCACACUUUUCUAAUUUAGCACUUUUGAAAUUUGAUAAUAAUUUCUUCUUGGCUAGAACAUUAAGUCCUUUCUCACUGAUGUGGCUAAGCCUCUUGUACUAUAACGUUGAAGAGUUAUAACUCUCAACCGCAUUGACCAUAUCAACACAAGCAAAAGCCAUAGUCCAGUAUAUACCACGAUGUUUGUUACCACGAGCCACAACCAAAGAACCCUUAAUGAGUUUCCAUUUUCCAUCACCGUUGAUACUAACAUAUCUUUCAUAAUCCAAAAUACCAAUAGAAAUCAGGUGCAGACGAACAUCAGGAGCAUGUUUCACAUUGUUCAAAACUAGUUUAGUUCCAACACUAGUUUCCAAACAAAUUGUACCAAUACCAACCACCUUAGAAACAGUCUCAUUACCCAUACUCAAGGUUCCAAAAUCACCAGGAGCAUAGAAAGAGAAAAUAUCCUUCCUUGAUGUCACGUGAGAUGCGGCACCAGUUUCCACAACCCAGCUUGACUCAUCACAAGCAAUAUUUAUCAUAUCCGCAUCAAGGACGGUAACAAGAUCUUCAGUGGUGACGGUGGCUAGGCAAUUUUCAUUGCCAUCUUCUUUAGUUUCCUCUUUGUUUUUUUUCUCCCUCUUCAACUUCAUGCAGAACUUCUUUGUGUUCCUUUUCAUGCCACAAUGAUAGCACUCAAUAUCCUUAAAAGUCUGCCUCUGGAUUUGCUAUUAUUUUGUUCUCUAUUUUGAGAACUACGAGUUUUGUUUCUCCCUCUGGAGCCAGUUAUCAAGACAUCCAACGAAGAAGAACCUUGAGAUUUUCUUCUCAUCUCUUUAUUUAAGACACUACUCUUGACGGAAUUCAUUGAGAUCACACUAUUCGGAGCAGAAUUUGACAAUGAAGUUCUAAAUGUUUCCCAAGAGUUUUGUAGGGAACCAAGUAGAAGCAAGCCUUGAAUUUCUUCAUCAAAUUUUAUGCCCAUAACAGAUAAUUGGUUCAUGAUCUCCUGAAAAUUAUUCAAAUGGUCUGUCAUCGGAGAACAAUCACGAUACUUUAAACUUAACAUCUACUUUAUUAAGAACAUUUUAUUGUUGCCAGUUUUUCGAGCAUACAAACUUUCAAGAUGCUCCCAGAGGGUUCGAGCAUGUGUUUCCCCAGAAAUAUGGUUCAACACAUUAUCAUCAACCCAUUGACUAAUGAAUCCACAAACUUGUCUAUGUAACAGAUUCCACUCUUCAUCUGUUUUAUUAUCAGGUUUUACAGUGGUAAAGACUGGUUGAUAAAAAUUCUUGACAUAAAGUAGAUCUUCUAUUUUUCCUUUCCAAAUGACAUAAUUGACACCAUUCAAAGUAACCAUUCUACUUGUGUUGGCUUCCAUCACCCCCCCCCUCCCCAAAAAAAUAGUUAUUGCAAACCAAAGCAAAUCUUUUAUGAUGUGGAAGUUCAGACUGUGCUGCAAUCACAGAGCAUACUCAGAUAAAACCAUGGCUCUGAUACCAGUUUGUUGAGAAAACACGGAAAAACACAAAAAUAUAUAUGGUCAAAGUAAUGGAAAUAACAUAGGAAAAUAAUGACACCAAUAAUUUUACGUGGAAACCCUUUAAAUAAGGGAAAAACCACGGGCCAAGAGGAGCAACUGAUAUCACUAUAGUAAGGAGUUUUACACUAUGUAGUCACGAAUACAAUACUCAAAGUGACUACUACACACUCAAAAUGAAUAACACUCUUUUGACUUUCACCUUACUAAAAUAUCGCUCACAUUCUAUUUUUCUUCAAAGACUAUUUUUCUUGUAUAGUCUAUGGAAUACCUCAGUUUGCUCUCAAAAUGGUUUUUUCUCUCUAACUUGGUGUGUUAGACAAAUGAGCAAGAAUGCUCUAUUUAUAGAAGGAUAAAACCAUGCCUAUGUCACUAAUGACAUAGACAAAUGUAACAAAUUUCAAAGGUAGGUUGCAAAUCUUACCAAAUUCAAUGCAUUCCAUAUUCGAAUGUUUGUUGUCAAAUUAGAAAGAUAGAAAACAAAAAGCUUGUCCCCUUGUUCACCUGUUUCCCUAUCCGGUUUCUUAAACGGAAUAAGUUGUGAAGGCAAGAUAUGUAUUCUAUAACCAUCAUCAUUCAUACCUUGAACUCUAGCAAUUAGGAACGAUCUCUUAGGCCUAUUUAAAUCCUCGAUUCUUCUUGGUCUCACAUCUGUUAGAGCAAUCAGAUCACCAACUUCUGGUUCAUAUUUCGAUUCAUGCUUUGAUUCACGCUUCGAUUCACUAUUCUCUCCCACCUCUUUUUUUUUAUUUCUUUUCAAAAAAAUAUUGUAAUAUAAACCUUUCGGAGGCUUAAAAUCUUUUGAUACUUUAACAUCAACAACCUCGAGAGUAGGUGCUUGCGAAACUGUGGACACAUUUGAGAGCAAAUCAGCAUGUGUUUCUUCAACUAGUGGAGUAAUGUAUGACUUCAAAUAAUGAUCAAUGGAUACAAAUGUCUUCGGAAUUUCUUUCACCUAUCAUAUCGAAACAGAACCAAUUACAAUAAAUUUGACACAAAAGUUCAAAACUACAAUUGUAGUACAAUUCAUGAUACUACAUGAGACAUGAAAUGUUAACAACUUAUAAUGUUGCUCGGACUCUCCAAAAAUGUUAUUGUACCCAUGUCGGAUCCUCCAAAAAUACACUAUUUUAAGAGGAUCCGAUAUGCACCUAAUGAAAUUUUUAAAGAGUCGGAGCAACAUAGCUUUCAACUAAGGCUGGGCACCGGAUCGAACCGGAAUGGGAUGGGUUGACCGGUACUGGGAUGAACCGGACCAGAAUUACUGGGAUGGAUACUAGGUUCCGUCCCGUCCCACUAUAUAUCGGGAUGGAACCGUACCGAACCAGAAUGGAAUGGGAUGGGAUAAACGGGACGACUGUCGUGCCGUAAUUUUCCUAUCUUUAGAAAAAUUACUUUUUUUGAAAUGUUCUACGUAUAAAACAAUUUGAAAAAAAUACUUAGAAAAGAGUCGCCACUUAAUUUUUUAAAGAAAUUAAGAAAACUUAAAAUUUUCAAAGAUUUAAACAGAAAAAAUCAUUUGAAAAUACCAAAGAGGGUUCGAGGUUCAAUUUACACUUCGAGAAGGAUUUAAGCAUUCGAAGUGCCCGCUAACAUGCGGUUGACCUGCGACUUUACUAAAAUAUAAUUUGGCUAUUUUUUAGGAAUAUGAUUUAACAUAAAAAAUAUAUAAUAAUUUAUAAUAUUCGAUUAACUUUGAGAAAAUAGUUAAACAAAGAACAAUUUUUAUUUUUUAAGAAAAUGGAACCUUAAUUGAAACAUUUUAAUUAGAGACAAGUAAUUAGAAUUUUAAGUUUUUAACAAAACUAGAUUAGUUGGUUUUUAUUUGAAUCAUUUUUUGGUUAAUCAAAAUAUGAAAACUAUUUUAAACUAAUAAAAAAAAAGUUUUGACUAAAGAUUAUAAAUGAAAAUACAAGAGUUGAUAAAAUGAGAUUUGUUAAAAACAAAACAACACAGAGAAAUAGUUCGUCUUUUGGGGAAUUCGAUUAAGUUAAAUAACAAUUCUAAAGUUAGAGUUAAUAAACAACAAACAAUAAAUAAUUACAAUUAAAUUAUUUAAGAGUAAGGGUGAGAAGUUGAAUUUGGGCCUUUCUUGGGCCAAAUUCGUUGCUGUUUUUGGAGUUUAACCCAAUUCCCGUCUUUAUAUAUAUCUGAUGUAUAUCAGUGUAUAUCGGAUAUAUACAACCCAUUUUUCUGCUUUUCGGGACUUGUACGUCAACUCCAAAGACUUGUUCUUUGAUUUCUCGAAGUUGGCUAAUUCGAUAAAAGAACCUCUCGAAAUGCGAAGGGAGUAAAGAUGAAGUCCAAGAAGACUCAGAUGGUAUCACAUGCAACAAAAUGAUAAUAACGAUUAACACUCAUUCAUGUCACAUGUAAAGGGAUCAAAACCGAAUAUUUCUAUGAAAACAAGAAAUCUGGCCUUCCAGAUUGUUAGCAACUCAUUAGCACUAAAAUGAUGAUACUCAACUAGCACACAUGUUAACUAAUAUCAGGUAAACAGAUGGGAGCUUUGGAAAUAAUUUCAUAGUGAAAACAACUAAGACUAGCCAAUAUCAACCUAUCAAUGAUUCCAUAGAUCAAAGUGAUUAGGACGGAGUUACCUUCCACUAAUCCGUAGCAAACAACAUUUUUAUUCCUUGUUCUAGUCUUUUAUUCUAUAGUUUCCAUAAUAAACUUAAUCAACAAGAAAUAACAAGCAAGCUUCUAACCAUCACUAAUAGACAGAGAAAGGGAAGCUACUGCAAAUUCUCAACACCAAUUUAAAUAGAUUCACCCUUUGGUGCAGAAAUUUACACUUAAACAAGACCCGAUCUAUAAUCGUGAUGGUGACAAACUACAAACUAAUAUGCCUUAUUAUGUACAAUUUAUUAAGACAAGCUGAUCAUGGAUGCAAAAGUAAAAUCUAGGCAGCCAAAAGCAGUUGACCAUGGAAGGAAAAAUCGGAAAUGAAUCGAGGCUUGUACGACCUUGAACCAUGGUGCGAAAUUUAAACUGAAAAUAUUAUAGAAGAGCAUAUCAGAAUUAGUAAAAGAAAAGGCAACAACUAAGUUCGCAUUAAGGUUGAUUCAACAUUUAUGGACAGAAAUACCUGCUAAAAUAUUUAUGUUAAUGUCCCAAUACUUCAUAACAGUAGACAUAAGGGAAGAACUUUCUCAGCUAAUAUCAUCAACACAAUUAAAUUCUAACAUAUGAAAACCCAAUAGUACUAAGAAUAACUUGCCAAGAGUUGAUGAAGGAAGCUGAAAACAAAGUAUAAGGAACGAGAAGAUGUCACAUACAAGUCAUUUUGAAUCCAAACAAACAGAGGAAAAUAGUGUAUAUCCCAUAAAAGCUAAUACAACCAUACGUAACCAAAGCAACAAGGCAUUAAAUCAAAUUAGUUGCUGAACAGUGAACUGAAAUUACAAUCCAGAAUAUGACUUAAUAACGAAAUAAGGAAGUAUACCUCUUUCGGAGCAGCGAGACUAGGACGCUUGACUAUGAAGCAACUUCCACACCAAAGAAGAGAUGAACUUCGAGAAUUCUGAUGUACUCCGCUAAAAGCUUCGGAUGAGACGAAGAAAAAUUCCAAGAAAUCUAGACUUGACUUUGUGGUUUUUGAUAUUAUUCAUCAAUCUAAUAUUACCACUUCAAAAAUUCCCCCCCUAAACAGUGAUUGAAAGAGAGAAUAUAUAGAAGAAGGAAAAAUCGUUUUGGGGGGAAAAUCCAUUAAGAAUUCAAACAAAUAUUUGAAUUUCUUCUGCUAUUUUCGAAGCCACAGUAAAGGGAAUGGGAAAAAGCUGAAUUUCGUGAAAAGGGGGGAAAGGGGACGACGAAGUGAUCGAUUAAGUUGCUAGGGUUAUGGGUUUGCAGAUGGGUGACGUACGGGUUUGGUACUGCUCGCGAUUUUGGCUGCUGUCCGCGAUUUCUGGGUUUGCAGCUCUUGACUUUUGGUUCUCGCGUAGGGGAGAAGAAGAAGUGAAGUGGGGUGGGGUCAGUUUGAUAUGUGUAUGUAUAUGCUGAUGUAUGUAUUGUACUUGGUUUUCUUUGAUGGGUUGGGUCUUGGUACUACUGUAAAGAGAAUUGGUGGGCUGGGAUUUGAAUUGGAGUUAAGAAAUGGGCCAGCUUGAACAAAAGAAAUGGGCUAGAGGAAAGGAAAUAAGAAUUGCAUUGUAUUGGAUCUGCUAAUAGGAAGAAUUGGGUCGUGGAACAGUCCCAUUUUUUGGUCUUUUAAAGGGUUAAGGAUAGGAUAAGCAAUUGGCUAAAAAUUGCAACAAGAUAAAUUUUCAUAAAUUAAUUAACGAGCUUCUUAAUCUUAACGACAUAAAAUAAUUAAUUCGAUUGUAAAAUAAUUAAUUUAAUUAUAAACUAAUAAUCAGCUAAAUUAAUUAACCAAAUAUUUAGGUAAAAAUAAAGUCUUUUGAGACAAUUUCCAAAUACUAAUAUAAUAAAUAUAUACAAAAUUAUAUAGAAUAUACGACACAUAUAGCUAUUUCAAAAAAUAAUAGUUUUUUUUAGUUAUUUUGUUUUUUAAAUUACGAAAAUACGAAUGUUUAUUUAUUUUUCUAAGUUUAAAUUAAUUGUUUUGAAAUUUAUAAUGUAAUUUUACUUAAGUUUGUUUCAAAGAUAUUUUUUUAAUUUUUACUUAUUCAAUUUGCAAGUUUAAGUUUAAUAAAGUUUUUGAGCUUAAGUUUUCAAGCUUUGAAAUUUUGAAUCUUUUGAAGUUUAUAAGCUAUUACUUAUUAAUAUGUUAUAAGUUAUACUUAUAAAUUGUAAUUUAAAUAACUUAAGUUUGUAAUUUAAAAAAACUAAAUAAAAAUAAGGAUAAAACAAUGACACAAAUAAAUUUAAAAAAUAUCAAUCCAAUUCAAAUUUUUUUUAAAAAUAUGCCUACAUAUAAAUUAAUUAAUAAAAAAUAAUUAACCGGAUUACCGGAACGGAACCGGAAUAAACCGAUAUGAAGACUGAAUGUGUAUCCGAUAUGAAUCUUCAUCUUCUAUGCCAUUUACUAUGCCAAUCAGAUAAGAUAUCUUUUGUCUGUUCAAAUCAUCAAUUCUUUUUGGUAACACAUCUGAUAGUGCAAUCAAAUCUCCGUUCACUGGUUUAUACUUCCGUUCAACUUUCUUCCCCUCCAUAGCUCUAUUUACCAAAAUAUCAUAAUAUAAACCUUUAGGAGGUUUAAAAUAUUUUGAUUCUCUGACAUCAAGAACCUCGAGUGCAGGGGCUCGUGAAACUGUGGUGAUGUUUGAGAGCAAAUCAACAUGUGUUUCUUCAAUAAGUGGAGUAAUGAACGACUUCAUGUAAUGAUCAAUCGAUAAGAAUGUCUCAGGAAUCUCCAUAACCUUGCACAUUUUGGAAAAAAGAUUAAUAACUUAGCAAAUCACAAACGAACUAGAGAAGACGAAUUCUUCUGUAACACCCCAGAUUCUAAAAUAGAUCAAAUGCAGAUUUUCAGAAGUUGCAGGUGCCACCAACGGGGGGCCACCUACGACUCCCUCCCCAGGAAUUCCAGCUAAGGGUCGACCAACGGCAGGACCUACGGACCAUAGGUGGGACCACGGUCCGUGGUUCAAGACCCCAGAUCCCAGUCUCUGAAGCCAAUCGAUGACUGAUCAGGACGGACCGUAGGUCAGUUGACGGUUCGUCGGUAAGGCCCGUUAAUUUUUAAGUCAGGGGCCGUUUGUCUUUUCUCCUAUGCGUUAGACACCUAAACUACGUCGUUUUUGUCAGUAUAAGCCUAGUAACUAAAUCAGAACUUACCCUAGUCAAUUCUUUCUCCAAAAAUCGAUCAAACCAGAGAAAAAGGAGAAGAAACAGUCAACCAAAACACUUCGAAUAAUGCAACUAGUUUUCCUCAGUUCCAACCCUGAAAUCGAAAGAUUUCUCCAUUGAAUUUGUCACCAGGUAUGUGAGAUUUCACUAGUGGGUUCCUUUCACCCAUUAGGUCCCUAGAAUUCAGAUAUAUUGUUUAGACCUAGGGUUUCUUGAACUUUAGAAAAGUGUUGUGAUUUAGCUGUUAGACUAUUCCUAAUCAGAUUAUUAUAUUUUCGUAACCAUGUUGCUUAAUCCUUGCAUGAAAUUUAGAACCCUAGUUGUGGAGAUUCAUUUAGUUCAUGAAAUACACUUGCUAGGUCAAUUUAUAUAGAUAUACAUGCCUCAGUUUACAAAUGUUUCAUUAUCAAUACUUUAAUGUUGCAUUUUCAGUUAGCAUGUCAAAAUAGUGAGUUAUUCAUUAUAUUUCAGUUAUGUUGUAUUGUACACAUUUCCAGUUUAGUGAUCACGUCAGUCAUGUCUUUAUACCCCUGAAAAGUUAUAUUGGGUCCUCUCGAUGGGGCGUAUACAUCGGACUCCACGUUUAGCUCACGUGGUUUUAUGCGGUAAUAGUAGCUCCUAUAGUCAUACUCUAGUGCAUUUGACCAAGUUUCAGAUAUAUUUCAGUAUUCAGUUUCAACAUGUUUGCACUUGGUCAUUGCAUUCAGUUUAGUUCAUAUUCAGUAUAUUUCAGUAUCUUUAUCAUGUUCAUAUUAUAUCAUUUUGCAGUAUGCUUUGUUCAGCUUUAUCCUAUCCUGCAUGCUCAUUACCUUUCAAGUAAUGACGCAUACUCUGCGCUACAUCUUUUCGUGAUGUAGGUUCAGGUCCUCAACAUUUAGAUCACGUGUAGAUCGGUUCCUUAUCUGUAUUCAACAGUAUCAGUGGUGAGUCCUCAUUCUUCGAGGACAACAAACAUGUUUCUUUUACAUUCAGUCUUUCAUUUUAGUUUCAGUUUUGCUAGAGUUAGCUGGGGGCAUGUCCCAGCAUCUCUAGUCAGUUAGAGGCUUAUUUUAGACAUAGUAUUAGAUUCAACUUUAGAUUUGAGUUUGAUCUUUCAGUUGUUAAUGAACUCUUAGUACAUUUCAUAUAUUCAGACUAUUAUUGGGUAUUCCCCAUAAUUCAGUUUAGCUUAUGAUUUUAGCCUCCGCAUAGUAUCUCCUAUCUUAGAAAAAUGUUUGUAUGUUUAUGAUAUGCCAACUCAGGGUUAGCUUGGGGUCACUCGUGAUCCCAGGUCCCGUGUUUAUGUCAAGGGGAUUGCCUCGGGGCGUGACAUUUUCAAAAUGAAUAUUUGUUUCAAAUCAAUAUAUGUUAAAUGAGAAUAGAGAAAGAUAGAACUGCAUUAGAUUUCCUCAAUACAAACUUGAUGCCUUCCAUUGUACAAGACUUUGAAAAUGUAUACAUACGAAAAAAGUUCAAAUGUAUACAGAUAUUAAGAUCAUACUCAUUCUAAAUCCGCCUUCAAUUAUAUAACAUGAGUGAUUAUGCAAGAAACACAAAAUGCUUUCUACAACUGAAAAACAAUGGUCGAUUCUCGUCUAGCCAUUUAGGCAAUACUAGCAUCUGAUCUUGAUCAGUACUCCCUUCGUUCAUUUUAUGUGGCACUAAAGCAUAAAACACAUACCGGAAACCCAAGUGGGGGAUAGUGUGCCUAUCUAGUAAGGUUAUUGUGUGCUUUAGGUGUUGCCAUGAUUUCCUUAUGUGCAUGUUCAUGGAGGUGUUUAGGUCUUGUUAGGAAACCUGCGGAUACAUAGCUCACGAAUUGUGAAUGAUACAUUACGUAAUAGGAGGGAUGUAUGUGAGAGGGGAUGUAGAUAUAUCUGAGAGGAGGGAAAUGUAUUCUAGAGAGGAUAAGAAUGUAUCUGAGAAAUAAUUUUUAUAAUCUUUUUUAAAAUGGUAGGAAAUUUUAGAAAUUAUUGUAUUCUUUUUGAAAGAAGACUUGGGCUUUGGACAUGGAUCUUGCAUGACAAUUGAGCUUAUAAUGUAUUUUUUUCUCGUCACGGAAAAUUGACAUGUAGGUACAAGUCCUACAUAUAUAUAAAAUUGACAUUCUUUUAUUUGGGCCGUUGGAGCAUGCUAUGACUGUUAAGUUUAUAUGUUCCUAUCGAAUAUCCACAAGUUUUACCCAGAAAUGACUUCAUUUUCUAAAUUGCUUAUGCAUUACUACACAUAAGUUCAAUUGUUCAAGGGCAAAAUUAAAAUCCAGCUCAUUUAAAGGAUAAAAACUAAUGAUCAAUCUAUUUAAAAGACAAAAAGAACAAUUUCAUGAAUAGGAUAUAUGGGGCUAUUUACAUUGUUAUGGAUUAGGCAAACAUGUAACAACACUUUUAUCUACAACGCAUAAGACAUCAUCCAUAAGCUCAAAAUCAUGUAAUUGAAUGAAUACAAGGAGUAUAAUGAUGGAUUAUUGUGAUAAUUAAUGAUGGAUUACUGUGAUUUUAUACAUAUAAAAAAUAAUGAUAGGUUAAAAUAUUUUUAUUACGAAAAAAAAUAAGUUAAAAAGAAUAAUAUGAUUAUUAGAAAAAGUGCCUUUUAAACCCAAAAAUAACAAUGGGGGCGUUUUUGGAUCAAUAACAACACGGACACAUGCACUUCCAUAUGAUUUGAAAUUAGGCUUUUUGUUGUUUUUUAAAUUACUUGCUAAGACAUAGUCAAAGCUCAGAAUUUUAUUUUUUUUGUAACUUUAGCAGUGUAAAGUUAAAAAAAUUCACAUAGUGUAAUCUAUAUUUAUUAUAAAUAUAAAAGGGAAAAAAAGGCCUAAAAUACUCUUCAAUUUUACAGUUUAGAGUUGAUAAUAUCAUUUGUUACGAAAAUGGCUAUAUGAGAAGUAUUGGUGUUGAAACUAUGGAUAACUUGGAAAAACUAUUUACUCAUCUUGCAACUAAUAAUGACAUCAGCACUUCAACUUUGAAUACGCACGCCUCAACUUUUCUCCAUUCUGCGUUCCUCCACAAUUGUGGUUGGUAAGCCAAUAUUUUUCAAAGGGAAGAGGCUUUCCCUAUAACUAAAAAUGCUACCAACCUCAGCUGCUUUAAAAUAUCUCCAACUCUUAUUCUUCACAUGAUAAAAAAAAUAAGCCCAAACAUCACUUGAUUUUAUCCAUAAAGCAAAUACAAUUUCUUCAUCACCAUACUUGCAAAUACAAGAGGGAUUCAACUCUAUAUCAUCCUCAUGUUUCCAUUCUAAAGGAAAUUCAAAUAUUUGAUGUUCCCAUUCUUCUUUUAAAAUCCAUAAAUGGAUGUCUUUAGUAAGAAAGACCUCUGGAAUAUACAUAAUUCCUAAUUUUCCAUUCACAUCUAUUAGGAUAUAGUCCUUAUGUCCAAAUUCGUCAAAGUUAUACAUAUCUAUACUGUUAUGAAAUUCAAUCGACAUUAUGAUAGUUGUGAAAAUUUCAGAUUUAAUAUCAAACGCAACUAUACAAAAUUCACGAGAAACGCUAAAUCUAUAUAUGAUCCCACUAAUUAUGCAAUCUCCAUAUCCAAUAUAAUAAUUAUGUUCGUCAUAUGUAAUUAUCUCCCUCCAUGAAUUAUCUAUACCUAAAGUAAAAACCCAUGCUCUUGAUAAUUCUAGAUGAUUUAGUUUAUAAAUAGUCAAAAGAACUUUAUACUCAUUUUCUUCAGGUUCAAAACCUAUUGAACAUAUCCCGUACGAACCAUCAUAACAUUUCAAGUAGGGAAGAUAUCUUACUUCUCCUGUAGCGGGAUUGAAAAUUGAAAUAUAUUUCUCAUCCCACGUGCAAAACAAACCAUUAUCGUAACCAAAACAAUUAGAAACACGAUCAAAGUGAUGACACAACUUAUCAAAAUUAUCAAGUUGAUAAGACUUGGUGGCGUUUCCAUCUUCUUCUAUUGAGUAAAUACCAUCGCCUAGGCAUCCAAUCACGCGAUUAAUCUUAGAAUAAUUGGAUGAACGGAUAUCCCCAAAAUAUGGUUCCAACACAAUUGUAUUAUAAAAUUUUGAAACACACUUAAAACGCAUUAAAGACUUAGCAGGAAGGCACGAGAAAAUUUGGAUGGUAAUAUCUUGAGGAAUUGACAUAUUUUUUAUUUUAUGGGUUACAAUCUUUGACUUGCCCGUUUUAUUAAGUACGUUUUUUCUUUGUUUAGUUUUAGGUUUAGGACUCUUCUUUUAGAAUAAAACUCUUUUAGGUUUAGGACUCUUUAAUUAGUAUAUAAAAAUAGCUUUAAAAAAAGUCCAAUUUUUUUUUUCUAAUACAGUAAUAAUUAUAUAGAUGAAAAUAUGUAAACCAUGAUUUUUUUUAUCAUUUGAGGGAAGUUGAGUCCUAAAGUAAUUGCACGUGCCUAUUUUGUUAAAAAUAAAGUAGGAAUUAAAAAAUAAGAAUAGGAGUAGGUAACUUCCCAAUUUACCAUAAAAAAAUAUAGAUAUUUGAUUUUUUAAAAAUUCAAAUUAAAUAUUAUUUACUAACUAAUUCUUGUCAUAAACUGCCACAGUUCUUCUCUUCGGAUGCCAUUUGUCUUUAUUAGGAUAUACUUUAUUCCUUUUAAUUAUAUUCCACAUGUGCGUUGGUUUGGAGGACAAACAUAGGAUUUUCAAGUUUAAACAUGCCCGAAUUGGUAAAUAGGAAUUUUUCCAUCUUUUGUGUGUUAGUCUAUAAUUUUGUGUGAUAUGUGCGUCCGGCGAUUUUUUUGCCAAAAUUAUGUGGGAGUGUAACGACUGACUAAAUGGCGCGGUUUGGUUUAGAGGUGCAAAUGUAGGGUUUUUAGAGUUCAAACGAGGCCGAAACGGGAAAUAAGAACUUUUCUAUUUUUCAUGUGCUAUAGUCCCUGAAUUUUUUAUGAUAUGUGCAAUCGGUUUUUUUGGUCGAAAUUUUUUGUGGUCGUCCGUGAAGACCUAUUAAAUAUCAUGUGUUGGUUGGGAGGGGCAAACAUAGGUUUUAUCAAGUUCAAACGAGGCUAGGACCAUGAAAUAGAUUUUUUAAAAUUUUUUCGUGUGUUAUAGUCCAUGAAUUUUAUAGGAUAUGUGCACCUGACGAUUUUUUCAUCGAAAUUUUUUGUGGGCAUUUGUGACGACAUACUUAGUGGCGCGUGUUGGUUCAGAUGGGAAAACAUAGGUUUUCUCGGGUUCAAAUGAGGUUCGGAACGGAAAAUAGUGAAUUUUACAUUUUUCGUUUGUUAUAGUCCAUGAAUUUUGUGUGAUAUGUGCGCUCGACGAAUUUUUAGCCAAAAUAUUUUGUGAGCAUCCGUGAAGACCUACUUAAUGGUGUGUGUUGGUUUAGAGGGUCAAGCGUAGGUUUUUUCAAGUUCAAACAAUGCCCAAACCAGGAAUAUGAAUUUUUCCAAUUUUCGUGCGUUAUAGUCCAUGAACUUUGUGUGAUAUGUGCGUUCGUUGUUUUUUGGCCGAACUUUUUGGGCUUCCAUGAUGAGCUAUUAAAUGACACAUGUUGGUUCGGAGAGGCAAAGGUAGGCCUUUUCAAGUCCAAACAAGAUCCAGAACGAAAAAUAGUGAUUUUUUAAGUGUUACAGUCCAAGAUUUGUGCGUCCGACGGUUGUUUGAUCAAAAUUUUUUGUGGCCGUUCGUGAUGACCUACUAAAUGGUGUGUGUUGGUUCAGAAAGGGCAAAUGUAGGUAUUUUCAAGUUCAAAUGAGGCCCGAAUUGGAAAAUAUGGAUUUUUACAUUUUCUUGUGCUAUCAUCCAUGAAUUUGUGUAAUAUGUGUCCCCGAUGAUUUCUUGGCUGAAAUUUCUCGUGGGCGUCCGUGACGACAUACUUAUGGUGCAUGUUGGUUUGGAGGCAAAAAAACAUAGAUUUUUUCUAGUUCAAAUGAGUCCCAAAACAGGAAAUAGCGAUUUUUUUGUUUAUCAUGUGUUAUAUAGUCCAUAAAUUUUGUGUGAUAUGUGCACCAAGUGAUUUUUUGUGGGAGACCAUGAUGACAUACUUAAUGACGGGUGUUGAUUCGAAGGGGAAAAUGUAGGGGUUUUCAAGCUCAAACAAGGUCCAGAACGGAAAAUAGUGAUUUUUCUAUUUUUUUUCAUGUGUUAUAGUCCAUGUAUUUUUUGUGAUAUGUGCGUCCGACAAUUGUUUGAUCAAAAAAUUCUGUGGGCGUUCGUGACGACAAACAAGUUAAAACGAGGUCCGGAUCGAAAAUAUGAUUGUUGUCAUUUUUCAUGUGUUAUAGUCCAUGAAUUUUGUGUGAUACAUGCACUCGAUAAUUCUUUGGCCAAAAUUUUUGUUGGGCGUCCGUGACGACCUUCUUAAUAGCACGCGCUGGUUUAGAGGGACAAACAUAUGUAUUUUCAAUUUCAAACGAGGCCCGAACCGAAAAAUAGAAAUUCUUACAUUUUUCGUAUGUUAUAUGUGAGAUAUGUGCGUCCGUGGAUUUUUUGGCUGAAAUUUUAUGUGGGCGUCCGUGACGACAUACUUAAUGGCGUGUAUUGAUUCAGAGGGACAAACGUAGGUUUUGAAGAGUUCAAACGAGGUUCAGAAUAAAAAAUAUGACUUCUUUUAUUUUUCAUGUGUAAAUAGUCCAUAGAUUUUGCUUAAACUAGAUGAUAAUUAAUAAAAUAAACUAUUUGGAGCAAAAUAAAUAUAGUUUUAACAUAAAUUUGUUUAAAAUUUAAAUAUCAUAUUAAUUUAGUGUUGAUUUGAUUCGAAUAUUUAUGAUUUGCAGAUAGUGUUGAUGAGUUACCUAUCUGAAGAAGAUAUUGAUUUGCUAACAAAUUGAACCAAUUAUUAUCCAUAUGCUCAACUUACUUUUAUUUUAGGGAUAACCCUUGACUUGGUUACAACGGACAACUAUGUCCUCCAACUUUAAAUGUGCACAAGUAAACACUUAAAUUUGUCUAAAAUUAAACAAGUCGACACAUGUGUCCUAGAUGACAUAAUACAUGUAGGAUGCCACGUAGGAUACAAAAUUACCACGUAUGAUGUCGUGUAGGAGGAAUGUGUCCAUUUGCUUAAUUUUAUACAAAUUUAAGUGCCUACUUGUGCACAUCCAAAGUUAAAAGUCAUAGUUACCAGCUGACACCAAGUUAUCGAACAAUAGUUAAAACACACGAAAAAUCCAGAAAAUCAUAGAGUAUUAAUUUGUUUGAUUGGUUUUUAGUAUUAUUGGAGUUAGAGUAUCUCAACUAAUAAUCAUUCUUUUCUUGAGAAUAUAUUAACUAGUCAAGAAAUUAAGGCAAUUAUGCUUAAUUUAUAGGGAUAAUACAUAUAUUUGACCUUAAACUUGGUUUUAAAUUUUAACUUUGACCUCCAACUUUCAUAGUGCACAAACAAGCACUUUAACUAUCCAAUCUUUUAAUAAAUAAACACGCGAUUUUUGGAGCCAAGAGCGUGAAAUGCAAACGCUGCCACGUGUAUUAGUGAGCCACUCAAUGGCUGCCAACUAAUUAAACCACUUUACACGUCCAUUUUAGAACUAAAAAAAAAAUUAAAUUAAUUAAGGUAGAGUUGUCAUUUCAGCAUUUUUUUCACUGUUGUGUGCCUCAAAAAUUACUUCUCACUCGCGCAAAAUGCGUGCACAUCACGCGUUUUGUCAGGUAAGACACGCGUGUUUAUUUAUUAAAAGGUUGGAUAGUUAAAGUGUCUAUUUGUGCACUUUAAAAGUUGGAGGUCAAAGUUAAAAUUUGAAACCAAGUUUAAGGUCCAAUAUAUGUAUUAUGCCUAAUUUAUAAGGCACAAAGUAAAGAAAAAUGUAUAUGACGAGAAAAAUUUAAUCAAACAAAUUUUACAUUAAUGAAUUAUAUUGCUAAAAAGGAAAAACAAUAUAAGCUCUAUUUGUUGUCAAGUGUCCUUUCAUAUUCUUUUGCAAAUAAGAGAUGACUUGACAUAGCACUUCUAAUUUCAACUUAUCUUCCGUCCAACCCUUUAACUUACAAAAUCAUCAUCUAUACCAACAUUUCGCAUUUCUCCGGAAUUGUGGUUGGUAAGACACUAUUUUCCAAAGAAAAGAGACUUUCACUAUAAGUAAACAUGCCAUGAAGACCAGAAAAUUCUUCAACUUUAAAAUAUCUCCAACUCUUAUUCUUCACAUGAUAAAAAAUAUAAGCCAAAACAUCACUUGAUAUUAUGUUUAUUGCAAAUACAAUUUCUUCAUCACCAUACUUGCAAAUAAGAUAGGUACUCAAGUCCAUAACCUCAUGUUUCCAUUCUAAUGGAAAUUGAAAUAUUUGAUGUUCCCAUUCUUUUUCAAAAAUCCAUAAAUGGAUGUCUUGAGUAGUUAGCUCGAACUCUGAAAUAAUCAUAAUUCCUAAUUUUCCAUUCACAUCUAUUAGCAUAUAGUCAAAAUCAUAAAUAUCUAUACUGUCAUCAAACCUGAUAGUUGUGAAAAUUUCUGAUUUAGUAUCAAACGCAACUAUACAAAACUCAGGAGAAUAGCUAAAUUGAUAGAUGAUCCCACUAAUUAUGCAACGUCCAGAUCCGUACAUAGAAGUUAGAUAAUUAAAUUCGUCAUAUUUAAUCAUCUCCCUCCAUGAAUUAUCUAUACCUAAAGUAAAAGCCCAUGCUCGUGAUAAUUCAAAAGGAUUUUCUUUAUUCAUAGUCAAAAGAACUUUAUACUUGUUUUCUUCAGGCUCAAAACCUAUUAAACAUACACAAUACGGACCUUCAAAACAUUUCAAGUAGGGAAGAUAUCUUACUUCUCCUGUAGCGGGAUUGAAAAUUGCAAUAUAUUGCUUAUUCCACAUGCAAAACAAACCAUUAUCGUAACCCCAACAAUUAGAAAUAUGGUCAAUGUGAGGACACAACUUAUCAAAAUUAUCAAGUUGAUGAUAAGACUUGGUGGCCUUUCCAUCUUCCUCCUCUUGUGUAGAGUAAAAAACGCCGUCUACGAAUCCAAUCACGCGAUUAAUCUUAGUAUAAUUGGAUGAAUGGAGAUCCACGAAAUAUGAUUCCGAUACAAUUAUACUAUAAAAUUUUGAAACACAUUUAAAACGUAUUAAAGACUUAACAGGAAGAUAUGACAAAAUUUGGAUGGUAAUAUCUUGAGGAAUUGACAUAUUUUUUUAUGGGUUACAAUCUUUGACUUGUCCCUUUUUUUAAGUACGUUUUUUCUUUGUUUAGUUUUAGGUUUAGGACUCUUUUAGAAUAAAACUCUUUUAGGUUUAGGACUCUUUAAUUAGUAUAUAAAAAUAGCUAAAAAAAAGGUCCAAAUUAUUUUUCAAAUACGGUCAGUAAUAAUUUAUAUAGAUAAGAAUAUGUAAACCAUGAUUAAUUUUUUUUAAAAAAAAACCAUGUUUUUUAAUUAUUUGAGGAAAGUUGAUUCCUAAAGUAACUGGACGUGCCUUUUUUUGUAAAAAUAAAAAUAAAAUAGGAAUUAAAAAAUAAGAGUAACCAUACGCAACUUCCCAAUUUACAAUAAAAAAUAAAGGAAACUACAUAAAUGUUACAAAACUCAAAAUAGUUACAUGUUCAUAUCCCAAUCCAAAGUAAUUUAAGAAGUACUCAUUCUCUCAAAAAAAAAUUUACAUCCCAUACCCCAUUCAUUAAGGCUGAUAAUUUUCGCUUAACUGAUACUAAAUUAGUAUCAUACAUUGUAUUGAUAUCAUUAAAGUUGAUAAUUUCGCUUAACUGAUACUAAAUCAGUAUAUAUAUACUAUUCAAGGAGUGCAUUAUCUUGUAGUUGAAUUCCCCAUCAUUCGAUCCUUAAUUAGUGAAGGGAUAACAUUAUGUUUGAUGUUUAUUCACCAAAUUAUUGUUUGUUUUUACUCACCAAUUUGGUCAUAUCUAAGGUUGUCAUAUGAGCAAUACAAAUGCUUUAGGGGUUUUUACGAUUCCCCUAGAAACUCGUAAAUUUCAAAUCAACUUAAGAUAUUAUAUUAUCCAAUAUAUAUACACACGACUAUAGUGGGAUUAUGGAAAGAUACAAUUCCAUUAUUUUGUAUUACAUGUGUGCACAAACAAAGGUUACAUACACUUAUACUACAUAUAUAGAAAGCCAAAAAACUUACAUAAAACAACAAGCUACAUGGUCAAUAAACCAUACAUUUGUUUAUUUUGGAACACGAAAUUCAAAAUUUAAAAUAUGUUUUCUUCUUAUUUCACAUGUCCGCCAUAGAAUUACGGUUCACCUUGCUACAAACAUCGCGAAUUUCCAACUGAACACCACGAGAUGGGGGCAAGUUCCCCAUCUUUAUCAUGGCAUCGUUGAAUUCGCGUAAGAAUAGAGCAGGGUUACUAUUAUAGGUCCAAACAACAUCACUAGUCGCGGUAGAUCCUAUCAAUACUUGGUCUGAGAAAAGAAGUCCUUGAUUUCGAAUUAAAUCCUCGUAAUAAAACUUGUCGAAAAAAUCAGGAGUCAUUAAAUCCAAUGGUACUAAGUAUGUGUUAUUGUUACUGUAACAUCCGACAAUUUGAAAUAACUAUAAAGAGGCUUAGAAUUGGAAUUAAUCAUUUUUGGAAGGAAUUCAAAAAUCUGGAAUUUGGCUAUGGGAAAAAAAUGAGUUUUUGGCCAACUUUGAUCAGCCAUAACUCCUAGAUCAGGAUGAGUUAGGAGUAGUUCCAGUUAUGUUUGCGAAGCUCGUGGAUUGAUCUUUCCAACGCCACCGAGUUUGCUCGAUUCUGAGUUCGUAUGAGUGAGUUAUCCCCUUUGGAAGUUGGGCAGUUGGCAGGGGAAUCCGUCCGGAAAGUUAAGGGUAUUUUGGUCUUUUCCCUAACCAAUUAUUUUGGUUAUAUUAAAGUGUUGGACUUAUUUUUAGAUCAGUUUGUCCCAUUUUAAAAGAGUGAGAGUGAGGGUUUUGAGUGAAGAAGAGAAGAAGAAGAAGAGAAGAAGAGGAGAAGAAGAGGAGAAAGAGGAGAUCAAACAAGUUUCCGUCGUGGAUAUCGUCGGGGCUGAUCCCUACUAGGUAUGUGAGUUUAUAGUGUUGGGUUGAUCCUUUCCCCCACACGUCAAGCUCGUUUUAUUUUUUCGAGAAAAGAUUGGUUAUGUUGUUGAAGUUGUUGGGUUGUGUUGUUGAUUGUGUUGUUGAAGUCCCUUGUUGAUUUGGGACAUGUUUUCCGGUUGUGUUUUUGAGUUGUAACCUAUUGUAUGUUGAGGGGUUUAUGGUUCUAAGUGUUUGGUGUUGGAACCUUUGAAGUUUGGAAGGUUUAGAGUUGGAGAAACAAGAAAGGAAAGUCGAAAUUUCGGGAAAAAGGGGCUGGGGCGUCGCGCCAGCCAGGGCGCCCCAGCAGGGGUUCUGAAGUUUCCCCCAUGGGGCGCCGCGCCUAGCAGUGAGCCCCAGCAGUCCUUCUGAGCUCCGAGGGCUGGCGCCCCGCGCCUUGCAGAGCCCCAAGGACGCCAAGUUCCCCCAUUCUUCUCACACUUUCUCAUGCAUGUUCCAUGCAAGGGCGGCUCAACAUAACUGGGGGCCUAAAGCGAAAUUUUCUUUGAGGCCUAAAAAAUUUCAUACAUAUUUAUUUAAAAAUUAUUUUUCUAAUUGUUUAGAUGCACAUUAUUACUUCAACUUUUUAAUAGAUGAUUUAUUUGAGUACUUUUUUAAAAAAAUUUAAUUAAUUUUAGAAGAUUUUAUCAAUUCAAUGCUGAAAAAUAUCCUUUUACUAAAGAAAUCCUUAUAUGAAUUGUAACAUAAUUCUCUAAGGAAUAAGUUGACAAACUUUAAGCAAAAUAAGAGUUAGAACCAUAGAAUCUGAUUCAAGACGUUGAUAACUUGAUAUACCUAACUUUGAUUGAAAAUUUAAGUAAAACAAAAUUGCGAUUCACUUUUUCAACACUGGUCGACUAAUGAUUCAGAUUUCUGAUAGAGUAUUACUUUAACUUAUCAAAGAUUUGAAGAAAAAGAGUGAAAAAGGAGUUUUAAAAUAAAUAAAUAAUGUGAAUGUCAGAAAUGUAAAUAAGACAAAGCAACGUUUUCUUGAUUUCUUCUAUUUGAGUGGAGUUAAGGAGAAUAAAAUAAUAUAUAUAUACAUAUAUUUUAUUAUAAAUAAUUAUUAUUUUUAUAAAAAUAAAAACACAUAAUUUGUUCUUGGUAAAAAAUUGAGGCCUCCCAAAAUUGGGGGCCUAAGGCAUGUGGCUUAAUUUUUCUAAGCAAGAGCCGCCCCUGGUUCCAUGGUAUUGUACCAAUGUUUCAUAGUUGUUUCCGACACUCCGAAGUACGUCUAAACGUCAAGAACUCCUCCAUAACAUGUGAUCAAACACCUUGAAUUCAUAAUCCAAUUCAAGGAGAGUUAGUAUCAAGUCAAAGUGAAGUUAGAGUCAAGUCAAGCAAAGUUAAGAAGUAAGUCCAAGCAAGUAUUAAAAGCUUUUCAAGAGUCGUUAUUGAACGUUUUAACUUCGUUUUAAGGCUCAAGUUUCAAGUCAAGUAAAGAGUCUCAAGUUCCAAGUUAAGUAUAGAGUUCCAAGUUAAGUAUAGAGUUUCAAGUUAAGUAUAGAGUUCCAAGUAAAGAGUCUCGAGUUUCAAGUUAAGUCAAGAGUUUAAAGUUGAGUUCAUUUCUCAAAAGCUAUUAGGGAACUAAGUAUUCCCAAAGAAGUUUAUAAAUGUUUUCACAUUUAAGAUGAGAGGAAACUGAGAUUUUCCAAAAGAGUUUUGAGAAGUUUGAGUACUAACUCUUUUUGAGAAAAGAUGAGUUUUGCGAAAGAGUUUCUAAAACAUGAUUAGUAUGACAAAUUGAGUAUGUCAUCAAUGUUUAAACAAUAUGGUCUCUAGAUAUACCAUCAAUGUUUAAGCAGUAUGAAUAUCCCGAGUCAUCAAUGAUCAUANNNNNNNNNNNNNNNNNNNNNNNNNNNNNNNNNNNNNNNNNNNNNNNNNNNNNNNNNNNNNNNNNNNNNNNNNNNNNNNNNNNNNNNNNNNNNNNNNNNNNNNNNNNNNNNNNNNNNNNNNNNNNNNNNNNNNNNNNNNNNNNNNNNNNNNNNNNNNNNNNNNNNNNNNNNNNNNNNNNNNNNNNNNNNNNNNNNNNNNNNNNNNNNNNNNNNNNNNNNNNNNNNNNNNNNNNNNNNNNNNNNNNNNNNNNNNNNNNNNNNNNNNNNNNNNNNNNNNNNNNNNNNNNNNNNNNNNNNNNNNNNNNNNNNNNNNNNNNNNNNNNNNNNNNNNNNNNNNNNNNNNNNNNNNNNNNNNNNNNNNNNNNNNNNNNNNNNNNNNNNNNNNNNNNNNNNNNNNNNNNNNNNNNNNNNNNNNNNNNNNNNNNNNNNNNNNNNNNNNNNNNNNNNNNNNNNNNNNNNNNNNNNNNNNNNNNNNNNNNNNNNNNNNNNNNNNNNNNNNNNNNNNNNNNNNNNNNNNNNNNNNNNNNNNNNNNNNNNNNNNNNNNNNNNNNNNNNNNNNNNNNNNNNNNNNNNNNNNNNNNNNNNNNNNNNNNNNNNNNNNNNNNNNNNNNNNNNNNNNCAAGGUAAGUGUUCUCUUGUACUCUUUUCAAGCUUAAGUUGUGGUUUAGCGAUCAAGCUCGCAUACUCGUACAUUCCAUGUACUGAUGCCAAUUGGCCUGCAUCUUAUUAUGAUNNNNNNNNNNNNNNNNNNNNNNNNNNNNNNNNNNNNNNNNNNNNNNNNNNNNNNNNNNNNNNNNNNNNNNNNNNNNNNNNNNNNNNNNNNNNNNNNNNNNNNNNNNNNNNNNNNNNNNNNNNNNNNNNNNNNNNNNNNNNNNNNNNNNNNNNNNNNNNNNNNNNNNNNNNNNNNNNNNNNNNNNNNNNNNNNNNNNNNNNNNNNNNNNNNNNNNNNNNNNNNNNNNNNNNNNNNNNNNNNNNNNNNNNNNNNNNNNNNNAAUAUUCUAUUUUGAGACUCGAGUUGCCCUUUUGGCCAGAUUUUUAUUAGUUGGUGGUUUUAUAACCUUUCAUUGCAUUGAGUUAUGCCGUUGAGUUAAGUUUCCGCUGAGUUAAGAAAGCCAGGCCAAGGGUUCGCUUGGGGGCCAGCAAUGGUCUUCGAGUGCCAGCCACGUCCAAGGUGUAGGCUCGGGGCGUGACAGUUACUAACAGGGCAACCACAUUUUAGUUUUGAUUUCAUGGCCGGGUUGAUGUUUCUAUCGUCACAUAAUAUCACACAUCGUGCAAAUCCUACUGUGUGGGACCCGACCAAUGCAACCAUUUCCAGAGCAGACAUUCCCUUAUCGCUGAAUUUUUUUAAUUGGACGUUGAGAUCGUAGAAUGGGGCUGGAAGUUGGGUUAACGCGCCGGUGAAAUUCGCGGUCCUUGCGUCUCUCCGGCCUAGACUCACAGAAUAUGGAAUUCCUCCUAACUGUUGAUUUGAAAUGAACUUUUUUUUUUUUUUUUAAACCCUCCCUGGGAGCUCCCACCUUUUUUUUUUGGCUCCCUUGGUGACUCGAACUCGCAACCUUUGGGUUGGAAGUGAGGGGUGCUUACCAUCCGAGCAACUCCCUCUCGUCAUUUGAAAUGAACUUAAAUAGAGCGAUAUGAAUAAUUUUUUUUUUAUAUAUAUAUAGCAUGAUCUAAAAUAAUUGGACUUCAAUACAGAUAACAAAUACCAAAUAAAUAAUUAAAAUAAAAAAGAUAAAAAAAUUCUCAUUAAGGAUAUAAUGAAAAGUUUAAAUUACGCUAUAUUUAAAUAUCUAAAAAAAAAGUUGACUUUAGAUUCAAACGUUCCCUUGUUUGCAUGUGUUUAAACUUACGUCAAGAAAACUACAAUUGAAGAAGAAAAAGGUCUUUUGGAAAAAAAUUGAUCUUUUACAAAUAUUUAUCAUCAUGAAGUUAAAUCUAUUUCGUGUUUUGCAAUGUAUUCAGAUUCAUAUCAUAUAUACGAAACUUAUUAAAUAAGUAAAUAUUUUAUACUCUUUUUUAGUGCUAAAAUUCAAAAUUUAUAAUUAAGGAUCGAAGAAGUUUGUUCAUCAAUCUCAGGAUAAUUCUCAGUGAUCAUGCUUAUAUUACCUACCAUUAUACCAAAAUAUAUAUUAAGUACCCACAUUGACAUUUUUUAAAUGUGGAAGGAAUAAAAAUAUAUAUAGGAUCUAGAAAGAACAAAAAUAAAUUAGUUAAAAAGGGGGAAAAAUAAAGUGAGUGAGAUAACAUGCGAACAUGGAUUUGUCAAUGGAAUCAAAGAAAUAGUGGACCAAUUUUUGUUCCUACACAUUUGUAUUUUUAUACAACUAUAAUUCUUGGAUUAAAUUUAAGUCUUCCAGUAAGUGAGCAAAGUUUUUUGUAUUAGAGUCUUUUAUAUAAUUAAUGGUAGGUUGAAAUUAUUUAUUUUUUCUAGUCGAUAUAUAUUUUUAUUAUAUAAGAGUGAGUUGGGUGAGGACCUACUUUUGUAUGUAUUAGAAGGAGAAAAUAGAGCUAUAGAAUAUUAGGGAUCGUUUGGUUAUUAGAGAAGAUAAUAUAUGUAUAAAUUUGAUAGUGUUUUCAUUAUAUAUCAUGUUUGAUACUAUUUUUGUAUAUAAUAGAGAGUAAAUGGUAAAACACACAUCUAAACUAUUAUUUUAUUGUGAGUUUUAAUUAUCAAUUAUUUCCCUUACUUACCUAGAAAAUCAUAGAAUAUUAAUUUGUUUGAUUGGUUUUUAGUAUUAUUGGAAUUAGAGUAUCUCAACUAAUAAUCAUUCUUUUCUUGAGAAUAUAUUAACUAGUCAAGAAAUUAAGGCAAUUAUGAUUAAUUUUUAAGGCACAAAGUAAAGAAAAAUGUAUAUGACGAGAAAAAUUUAAUCAAACAAAUUUUACAUUAAUGAAUUAUAUUGCUAAAAAGGAAAAACAAUAGAAGCUCUAGCUUUCAUAUUCUUUUGCAAAUAAGAGAUGACUUGACAUCAACACUUCAACUUAUCUUCGGUCCAACCCUUUAACUUACAAAAUCAUCAUCUAGACCAACAUUUCACAUUUCUCUUGAAUUGUGGUUGGUAAGCCACUAUUUUCCGAAGGAAGCAUACUUUCAGUAUAAGUAAACAUGCCAUGAAGACCAGAAAAUUCUUCAACUUUAAAAUAUCUCCAACUCUUAUUCUUCACAUGAUAAAAAAUAUAAGCCAAAACAUCACUUGAUAUUAUGUUUAUUGCAAAUACAAUUUCUUCAUCACCAUACUUGCAAAUAAGAUAGGUACUCAAGUCCAUAACAUCAUGUUUCCAUUCUAAUGGAAAUUGAAAUAUUUGAUGUUCCCAUUCUUUUUCAAAAAUCCAUAAAUGGAUGUCUUCAGUAAUUAGCUUGAACUCUGAAAUAUUCAGAAUUUCUAAUUUUCCAUUCACAUCUAUUAGCAUAUAGUCAAAAUCAUACAUAUCUAUACUGUUAUCAAUCCUGAUAGUAGUGAAAAUUUCAGAUUUAAUAUCAAACACAACUAUACAAAAUUCAGGAGAAUAGCUAAAUCGAUAGAUGAUCCCACUAAUUACUCAAUGUCCAUGUAAGACAUGAGAAAUAUCAUAAUCAUGUUUGCCAUAUGUAAUCAUCUCCCUCCAUGCAUUAUCUAUACCUAAAGUAAAAACCCAUGCUCUUGAUAAUCCAAGAUUAUUUGGUUUAUCAAUAGUCAAAAGAACUUUAUACUUAUUUUCUUCAGGCUCCAAACCAAUUAAACAUUCAAAAUUGUCAUCAUCAAAAACAUUUCAAAUAGGGAAGAUAUCGUACUGCGGGACUGAAAAUUGCAAUAUAUUGCCUAUUCCACAUGCAAAACAAACCAUUAUCGUAACCCAAACAAUUAGACAUACGGUCAAUGUGAGGACACAACUUAUCAAAAUGAUGAUAAGACUUGGUGGCGUUUCCAUCUUCCUCCUCUUGUCUACGAAUCCAAUCACGCAAUUAAUCUUAGAAUAAUUGGAUGAAUGGAGAUCCACGAAAUAUUUUAGGAUUCGUUGUUUAAUUUUAAAACACACUUAAAGACUUAACAGGAAGACACGACAGAAUUUGGACGGUAAUAUCUUGAGGAAUUGACAUAUUUUAGGAUUCGUUGUUUAAUUUUUUUGACUUGCCCGUUUUAUUAAGUACGUUUUGUCAUUGUUUAGUUUUAGGUUUAGGACUCUUUAAUUAGUAUAUAAAAAUAGCUAAAAAAAAGUCCAAAUUAUUUUUCAAAUACGGUCAGUAAUUUCUACUAUAUAAUAAAAAGGAGUUUAGGCCCAAGUAUAAUAUAUAAUAUUCAAGAUUGGGACUUUCUUGAAUAUUAUAUAUUAUAAUAUUAUAUUAUUAAACUCCCUUUUAAAAUAAUAUAUAUAUGUCACAAAUGGAAAAGUCCCAAUCAAGGAAGCAACAUAUAUCAUUUACAAAUGACUUAAAAAGCAUUAAAAAUUACAAUAAUUACCAAUUUAAAUUAUUUAAAAGCUAUAUAAUAAAAUAGGUUGACUCUCAGAAUUCUAUCAGGCUCACAUAUAUUGGGACAGAAAAAAUAACACAUAUCAUUUUAAAAUUACCAAAAAAGUAUUAUAAAAUAAUAAUAAUUAACAACUUAAAAAUAUCUGAAAGACAUUUUAAAAGGGUUAACUUUGUAAUUUUAUCCAUAUCACAUAAAUUAGGACAAAGUGACCAGUAAUGUACGUUAUUUGAAAGUUACAUAAAAAUAUUAUAAAUCACAAUAAUUAAUAACUUAAAACAUUUUUAAAAAAAAUAUGAAAAUUUAGAUGACUCUCCAAAUUUCAUUUGUGUCACAUAAAUUGAGACAACAAAAAUAACAUAUAUUGAUUCCAUUUUAAUUUACUUGUCUUAUUUUUUAAUUUUUUUUUAUAUUUAAAAAUUGCGUAAAAAUACUAUAAAUCAUGAUAAUUGACAACAUAAAAUAUGUUUUGACAAAAAAAAUAAAAUUCCACUGAUUCUUGAAGUGAAUCUAUCGUAAAAAUACUAUAAAUCAUGAUAAUUGACAACAUAAAAUAUUUCAAAAAUGUUGUAUGUGGGUAGUCUUAUUAUGCCUUAAAUAGCGUCAAAGAAAGUACAGCUUUGUAAUAAAAAAACUUAUUCCUUUAUCCACGCAAACAAUCGCUUCAAAAACUCGGUUAUUAGCCACAAAAACUUAUUCCUUUAUCCACGCAAACAAUCGCUUCAAAAACUCGGUUAUUAGCCCCAAAACAUACCAUUUAUAUUAUUGGGCUUAUCUAGUAUAAUUUAUAUAGAUGAGAAUAUGUAAACCAUGAUUUUAAAAAAAUAAAUAAAAAUAAGCCAUGUUUUUAAAUUAUUUGAGGAAAGAUGAUUCCUAAAGUAACUGGACGUGCCUUUUUUGUAAAAAACUAAAAUAGGAAUUAAAAAAAUAAGAGUAACCAACGUAACUUCCCAAUUUACAAUAAAAAAAUAGAGGAAACUACGUAAAUGAUGAGACAUAAAACUUAAAAUAAUUACAUGUUCAUAUCUCAAUCCAAAGUAAUUCAAGAAAUAUCCAUUCUCUAAAAAAAAAAUUACAUCCCAUACCUCUAUUCAUUAAAGCUGAUAAUUUUUGCUUAACUAAUACUAAAUUAGUAUAUAUAUACUAUUCAAGGAGUGCAUUAUCUUGUAGUUGAAUUCCCCAUCAUUCAAGCCUUAAUUAGUGAAGGGAUAACAUUAUGUUUGAUGUUUAUUCACCAAAUUAUUGUUUGUUUUUUCUCACCAAGUUGGUCAUAUCUAAGGUUGUCAUUGAGCAAUACAAGUGCUUAAGAGGUUUUUACGAUUCCCCUAGAAACUCGUAAGCUUCAAAUCAGCUUAAGAUAUUAUAUAUAUAUAUAUAUAUAUAUAUAUAUACACGACAACUUUAAGAUAGUGGGGAGAGUUGGCAAAAUAGCCACUCUCCAAACUUAAUUGAACAUUUAGACAAGUCUUAAAAAAUUAGUACUUUAGAUUAUGACAUCACUCAUUAUUCUUUCAAAAUAUGCAAGAUCAACUCCAAAAUUUUUAAUAUUACACUUUAGUUCCCCCACCUCAUCCAAUAAUAUUUUAAUUUUUCCCAUCAUUAUUUUCAGAUUUAAAAAUAAUCAAAAAAGAAAAUAUUUUUCAAGCCCAAAAAAUCUCCCAUUUUCCAGCCGUUUUUCACCUAUUUAUUUCGAUUCCGGUGAUUUUUCCGGCGAAACUUUCCUCCUCACAACUGAAAAUCUCCAUUCUUGCUCAUUGCCUCUAGUGUUAUUCCAUUUUUUUUAAAACUUUUUGUAAAAAAUAUUUUUACACCAUUUUUACUAGCUUGAAAAGCUUGAACAUUCCCGAUACCUCAUUAGUAGAGAUUCCAUAGUUUAGAAGCCCUACUAAUUCAUUUCUCCAAUCCAGAGCUAGCAAAGUACCUAUUACAUUCGAUUUCAUUUAUUGACAUUUAAUUUGGAGAAUUUCCUGCCAGUCCUUGCCCAGUUAUAGACCUAUACCGUAAUCUAGGACCGAUCAUUGUGGUCUAUAAUGACAGUACUUACAGUAAUUAUUGUUAAUGGUAAUUAUAUGGAUGUGUGUGGGAGGGGACUCCUAAAUGUUGGUUGAAAAUUAUCUAGUAAGGUGACAGUGGUCAUCCCAUUUCGUCGCAAUGAUUUAUACACAACAUGGUUCGAAUCGUAAUUGAGAUGUGAGAAAUUAGAUUGCGAGCCAAGCGAAGUUGAUUGUGAUUAGUCAUCUAAUGAAUGAAAGGGAAAAUAUACGUCCCACGUUCAUAAAAAAUGACAAUCAAGUGUCCAUGUACAUGUUGGAUGUCACCGCCGAUCGCACUAGGCCAAUAUUGAAAAUAUAUAUUGCCGUGAGGUCUUUGGUACUCCUCUCACCCACCCUACAAUCAAUGACGAUGAAUCGAUUGAAGAUUAAAGUUUAGGUGAUGAUUGAAAUGGAUGGUCAUCCCAAUAGAAUCGAAAGAUCCCGAAUUGUUUCAAGAAAAGCAACGAAAAUGUGGGUCAGGAUCAUAACUCAACCAUAACUUCUCCAAUGGAACUAAUUUCAAAUAGAACAAACAAUUGGCAACAAGAAUGAGUUGAAAAUGGUAUUAGAUCAGGCUUCGAUGAAGAAUUCUUUUGAUUAUGCCUCGUUGAAGAAGUGUAGUAAAUAGUUCAAGGUGAAAUGUGUAUUCCUUGAUUGUAUCUGGAUACUGCAGGCGAGGAAUUAAGUAUAAUGCUCGACCAUAAAGAAAUUCAGAGAAUUGUUUUCAAAUAAUUUUAUUAUAGUUUAAGCAUCUACGAGUACUAUUCAUAUAUGCAUAAAGUCGACACCUAUCUCAUUGCGUACUCAAUAUCAAUUAAUGUCAUCCUUGUAGAGUUCGAAUAGUGUGUGCCACAUGAAUUGUUAGAUGUCUAUUUCUUUCACCCUUGUCAAUACAAAGUUUGAAAGAAAGAGAGAAAAUGUGUUAAGGAUGAUGGUGAGACUUUCAAAACCAAGAGGAAGAAUAAGUAUUUAGUGCGUAAUAGAUCCGCACACAAGAGAACCACAUGUAAUAACAAGAAAUUUUAGAUAGGCUUGUCCCACUUUGUUUUUGUAACUCGAGGUAAUGUAUGUAAUUUGAGACUUGUCAAUUUGGUAUAAUUAUAAGUAGCAUGUUAAUUUUGUCUUUUUGGUCCAUUUCUAUAAUUAAUAGACUAAAACAAAUAUGUAUUGUACAUGUUGUCUAUUUGAUUUAUGCACUACUACAUAAUGUAUUGAGAAUUCUAUUCGAUUAGAUCAAUUUAUAUUAAAUAAAUUAAACGAUCCACAAGGUCUACGCUCGACUGAGACCAUUACUGUAAUAAAAAAAGAAAAUAAUUAAUUAAAAAAUAAAUUAUUGAAAUUUACACGAUUAAAUGAGCUUAAACAAGUCAUAAGAUCAUAUAAGAGUUCACAUACAUUGGGGACGAUAAUUAGAUCAAGAUGUGUGAGGAUGAGUAGUGGUUAUACAAUCAAUAUCCUCGCAAUAAUGUUGACCAAACACAAGUAUGUUGUACGGAUUUUAUUUGUUCAACCACAAUUCAUUCUCAUACAUCUCUUAUUAUUUUACCCAAUUUACGCGGACUCUUAUAUGACUUAAACUCAUUUAAUUGUGUAAUUGCAAUAAUUUAUUUUUUUAUUAGUUAACUAUUCUCUUUUUAAAAUUCUACUAGUUAAAUUCUAUGCAUGUGUAUCAUAAUCUAGUACGUUUAUUAUACAUGAAGGUCUUAGUAUAGGCUAGACUAUACUUAGUUUAGUCCUCGACUUCUUAUAGUCUAACCUAUCCUAAGACCUUAGACCUUCAUCCAUAAUAAACUUACUAGGUUAGGAUACAUAUGUAUAGACCAUAACUAGUAGAAUUUUAAAAAGAGAAUAAUUAAUUAAUAAAAAAUAAAAUAUUAAAAUUUAUACAAUUAAGUAAGUUUUAAAAAGUCAUAUAAUUAUAUAAGAGUGGACACAUAUUGAAGAUAACGAUCAAAUACGUAUGAGGAUGAGUUGUGAUUGAACGAAUGAAAUCCUGACAAAACAUACUUGUACUUUAGUAAACAUUAUUUUGAGGAUGUUAAUUGUAUAACCACUAUCCAUCCUCAUACAUCUAUGAUCGUCGUUCCCAAUUUACGUAGAUUCUUAUAUGAUCAUAUGAUUUGUUUAAGCUCAUUUAGUUGCGUAAUAUUAAUUUAAUUAAUGAAUUAUUUUAUGUUUUGACAAUAUGCUAGUAAGAGUUAUAAACUCACACAGUAUAUUAUUGAUAAAGCAUGUAGUUUAGAUAUAUAGUUAAUUCAGUCGAUGGUCCUCAAUAUAAUAUAAUUUAUGUAGUUAUUUACUUUUUUUGUUAUAUACCAAUAUUUUGGUUAUCAUUGCACCAACCAACAUAUACCUUACAAAUGAUGGAAUGUCAAUCUAUAUGAUCCGUCAUCUACCAGCAACAUGGGAAAUAAUUGAUUAUAUUUAUGAUGUAUGAUUAACAAAAUUUAAAUAUCCACUUUUGCAACGGUAGUAAAGUACAACUCAAAUUACACCAAAUCGUAAUAUCUAAUCUUUUUAUAUAAAAAAGGCAAUCUUUGUUUUAAUUCCCUCAUUUUAUUGACUUCAUUUUUAUUCAAUUUUGAAUAACUACAAUGUCUCAAACAUCCAUUUUUAAAUAACUACAAUACAAUUUAAAUAUCCACUUUUCUGUUUGUUCGAAUCAAUCUUCUUCUUUAAACAACUCUAUGUUAGUCCAAUCGACUCUUUUCCUAAUGGAUAAAUUUCGAAGAAAUUUUAAUCAACCACUAUUUUGAUUUGGUUUGAAUCCGCUUUCUCCGUCGAAUCCCUUAGCAGCACCGAAGGCACGAACCAAACUAAAACGCACUUCAACUUUUGCUCCUUUCUCAAUUGACUUCAUUUGAUCAAGCUUAUCAGUCUUUCAAUAGUGAUGUUCUUGUUCUUGGUCAAAAUAUUGAAGAACUUUGUUCUUUUUUUAUUCACAGAGUAUGCUAACAAUUCAACCCCGUAAUCAAAGCAAAUUUCAUUAAGUUGAAACAAGUUGGCUUAUCAUUCACAUAGAACUAGAUGUAAUGUAACUUUUUUUUAUUCUUCGCACAUCGCAAAAACAUAUAAUAGAUAAUUUAUUUAUUGUAUUUAAAAUGCUUCGGCAAAUGUCUCAAGCGUUCAAAACAAAUUUACUUGAAAUCAGCAUAGAACUUUUGAUCAAUUAGAUUUUUUUCUAAAGUGUUCACAAUAAACCGUCAUUCUUACUCUUACAGAAAUUUUUGUAAAAGUGAUCAACUUCUUUCGUUUUACGUGUCUUACUAUUGCAAGCAGUAGAAACAAACUCUUUAAUGAUUUUCUAUAUUUAGCCAUACUUUACAAUCUAUAAGAGAAAACUAAUUUGUAGUGAUCAAUCUAUCGAUCACUGGUCUAUUAACUGAAACAAAAAUGUACUCUAUCAGACAUGCAAAACAAGAAGCAGUAAUUCUAGAAAGGAAGAAUGCAAAAGACAACAACCAGAACACCACUAAUGUCUACUAAAACGUAGAAAAAAAAAAUCAAAAUCGAUAUAUAAUAUAAACAUAAAAGUUCAAAAAAAUUCUAAUCAUUAUCCAAAGCAAAAUGCAAUUAAAGAUGCGGAAUCAAGAACAUUAACUCAAAACAUAUCAAAUUUUGACAAAUUUAAUCAAGAAAAAUCGAUUUUUUGUAAAAAUUCAAAAUCCACUAAACUAAAAUGCAACAAAAAAUAAUAAAACGGAGAAAAAACUGUUCGGAAAAGAAAAAUGAACUACUUGAGCACAAGAGGAUGAAUGCUUCGACUUGGGGAAGAAGAUUGGAGAAAAGAAUAUUUCAAAUCUUUAAGGUACUCAAGAAAAUAGGGAAGAAGAGAGGUUGAGAAGAGAGAAGAAAGUUAUUGAAUAAUUAAAUGACAUUAAAAAAAAACAGAAUAUUUUUCUACUAUAUUAUAAAAGAGAGUUUAGGGCCAACUAUAAUAUAUAAUAUUCAAGAUUGGGAAAAGUCCCAAUCUUGAAUAUUAUAUAUUAUACUUGUGGGACUUUUAAAAUUCUAUUUUAUACCCAAGUAUAAUAUAUAAUAUUCAAGAUUGGGAAAAGUCCCAAUCUUGAAUAUUAUAUAUUAUACUUGUGGGACUUUUAAAAUUCUAUUUUAUACCCAAGUAUAAUAUAUAAUAUUCAAGAUUGGGAAAAGUCCCAAUCUUGAAUAUUAUAUAUUAUACUUGUGGGACUUUUAAAAUUCUAUUUUAUACCCAAGUAUAAUAUAUAAUAUUCAAGAUUGGGANNNNNNNNNNNNNNNNNNNNNNNNNNNNNNNNNNNNNNNNNNNNNNNNNNNNNNNNNNNNNNNNNNNNNNNNNNNNNNNNNNNNNNNNNNNNNNNNNNNNNNNNNNNNNNNNNNNNNNNNNNNNNNNNNNNNNNNNNNNNNNNNNNNNNNNNNNNNNNNNNNNNNNNNNNNNNNNNNNNNNNNNNNNNNNNNNNNNNNNNNNNNNNNNNNNNNNNNNNNNNNNNNNNNNNNNNNNNNNNNNNNNNNNNNNNNNNNNNNNNNNNNNNNNNNNNNNNNNNNNNNNNNNNNNNNNNNNNNNNNNNNNNNNNNNNNNNNNNNNNNNNNNNNNNNNNNNNNNNNNNNNNNNNNNNNNNNNNNNNNNNNNNNNNNNNNNNNNNNNNNNNNNNNNNNNNNNNNNNNNNNNNNNNNNNNNNNNNNNNNNNNNNNNNNNNNNNNNNNNNNNNNNNNNNNNNNNNNNNNNNNNNNNNNNNNNNNNNNNNNNNNNNNNNNNNNNNNNNNNNNNNNNNNNNNNNNNNNNNNNNNNNNNNNNNNNNNNNNNNNNNNNNNNNNNNNNNNNNNNNNNNNNNNNNNNNNNNNNNNNNNNNNNNNNNNNNNNNNNNNNNNNNNNNNNNNNNNNNNNNNNNNNNNNNNNNNNNNNNNNNNNNNNNNNNNNNNNNNNNNNNNNNNNNNNNNNNNNNNNNNNNNNNNNNNNNNNNNNNNNNNNNNNNNNNNNNNNNNNNNNNNNNNNNNNNNNNNNNNNNNNNNNNNNNNNNNNNNNNNNNNNNNNNNNNNNNNNNNNNNNNNNNNNNNNNNNNNNNNNNNNNNNNNNNNNNNNNNNNNNNNNNNNNNNNNNNNNNNNNNNNNNNNNNNNNNNNNNNNNNNNNNNNNNNNNNNNNNNNNNNNNNNNNNNNNNNNNNNNNNNNNNNNNNNNNNNNNNNNNNNNNNNNNNNNNNNNNNNNNNNNNNNNNNNNNNNNNNNNNNNNNNNNNNNNNNNNNNNNNNNNNNNNNNNNNNNNNNNNNNNNNNNNNNNNNNNNNNNNNNNNNNNNNNNNNNNNNNNNNNNNNNNNNNAAAAUUUGGAUGACUCUCCAAAUUUCAUUUGUGUCACAUAAAUUGAGACAACAAAAAUAACAUAUAUUGGGUCCAUUUUAAUUUAUUUGUCUUAUUUUUUUUAUAUUUAAAAAUUGCGUAAAAAUACUAUAAAUCAUGAUAAUUGACAACAUAAAAUAUUUCAAAAAAGUUGUAUGUGGGUAGUCUUAUUAUGCCUUAAAUAGCGUCAAAGAAAGUACAGAUUUGUGAUAAAAAAACUUAUUCCUUUAUCCACGCAAAUAAUCGCUUCAAAAACUCGGUUAUUAACCCCAAAAUAUACCAUUUAUAUUAUUGGGCCCGUGCAUAGCACGGGCAACAUUAUCUAGUAAUAAAUAUAAAAAGGGCUUGGUUGUAUUUUUAUAAACAUCUAUUUUAUACCCAAGUUUCUAUAAAUGUUAAAAUGGUCCAUGACCACACAAUCAUACCCCACUUUUUCCCACUUUUUCUAACCUAACCCUAAAAAUUAAAUCAAAAAGAAAUUAAAUAGCUAUUGUGCAAAUUAAAUUUUGAGAGUGCCCCAUUCCAAUUAAUCUCAAGAUAGUCCCACUAUGGAAAGAUACAAUUCCAUUAUUUUGUAUUACAUUUGUGCACAACCAAAUUAAAGACAAAAGGCUACAUAUACUUAUACUAUAUAUAUAGAGAGAGAAAGCCAAAAAACUUACAUAAAACAACAAACUACAUGGUCGAUAAGCCAUACAUUUGUUUAUUUUCGAACAUGAAAUUGGAAUUUUUUCUUCUUAUUUCACAUGUCCGCGAUAGAAUUACCAUUCACCUUGCUACAAACAUCGUGAAUUUCCAACUAAACGCCACGAGAUGGGAGCAAGUUCCCCAUCUUUAUCAUGGCAUCGUUGAAUUCGUGUAAAAAUAGAGAAGGGUUACUAUUAUAGGUCCGAACAACAUUUGCAGUCGUCGUGGUAGAUCCCAUCAAUACUUGGUCUGAGAAAAGAAGUUUGUUAGGAGGAAAUUAGUAAUGUGUUUUGAAGAAUGUCAAAGUGCAUAGAACAGGUUGUGACAACGUGAUACAAUGUUCAUCUAAGUUGCAUAGGAGAAGAGUUCGCAAACAAGAUAAUUUUCUUAAUCAAAUAGGAAAACAAGACAAAGUAGGAAGUAAAGAAAGAAGAUAAGCAAAGUAGUUGUCAAAGCCAAGUCGAGAAAGGAAACUACAAAAAGAGAAGAGGUCAAAUAAUGUUCAAGUCGAAAAAGAAUUUAUGGAUACUACGUAGACGACUUCGAGCAGGAGUCUGAGUUGAGAUAGGUUUUGGAUUCAAGUCCAAAUCUAUAAAUAGGGCGAGAACUUCGUCAAAGAAGUUUGCGCACCUAUAUUGACAGAAACAAAUUAUGCGUAAAAAAUCAAAUCAGUUUGAGAUAGAUUUGCUUAUGUGUAAUUAUAUAUUUUAGUCUAAUUUUGAUUAUUAUUAGUUUUAAAAGUAUUUUAUAAUAAUUAUAUAAAUGAUACAUUGAUUAAAAAAACACAAUUUCAUGUAAAGCAGUUUCAUAACUUCCCAUUAUCGAUCUAAUACUACAUAGUGUUAUAAUGAAUGAAAAAAUGUGGUGAUAACCUUUUAUUUUAUCAGUAAUUAUCUUAAAUUAAAAUUUUAAAAAAUCACAAAAUAAAUAAUUAUGAUUAUAUGACAGAUUUACUUUUAAUCUUUAUGUUUAAAAAAAUCAAUUGUCCAAAAAUAAAAUAAUAAAUAUAAUAAAUUGUAUACUUCGUGGAAAUUGGGAUAGUCUUUCUAGGAUCUUUUAUCCUUCUUUUUUUUUUUAAAAAUUCUUUUUGUUUUUACUCAUUUUGUUUUAGAUAAAAAAUGCUUAAAUAGUUUUUAUUUUAUUUUAUUUAAGUUCAUUUAAUUGUAGGAAAUUUUAAAAAAAUAUUACAAAUUUAAGCAAUUGCUUGAAUUUAUUAUUCAUAAUUUGUUUGAUUAGUAAUUGUCUGUUUUCUUUAGUAAGAAUAAAUUGAAUUAUUUAAAUUUUGAAUUAAGAGUGGUGGAUUAGUUUUACAAGAUAAAGAUUUAAAAUUUAAGUUUAACACUUAUAGUUUUGGAGAUGGUUACAACUUCUUCACUUUGUCGUAAUUGUAUGAGUUUUCAAAGUGUUAGUUAUUGAGAAAUAUAUGUUUUAUAUGUUGCUCUUACAAAUCAAGAAGAAACGGAACGAUAAAAAGUACAGAGAAAUUGAACAAAAAUUUUGUGGGAGGACAUUAAAAAUAUCCGCGCAACGCACGGAUACGAAUACUAGUGAGGUAAUAAAAAACUUUUUAUUGUUUGAAUUGUUAGUUGUAGUCGUAGUCGUAGUAUUGCUUGUGUAGUUUGUUGUCUUUUAAUUUGAUUUAUGUUAUUAUUUGUUUAAUUCGUUGUAUCUCGAUUAUCGUAUUGUUUUGUUACUAUAUGUUGAUUCAUAGUGCCUUGGUUUUUGUUUCAAUGUGUUGAUUAUUUAUAACUCGAUUAUCGUAUUGUUUUGUUACUUGAUAUUCAACCGGUAAGAUUUACCUUUGUUAGGAUACACUUUAUCAUAUUACUUUCCGACAUGAAUCUAAAUUUAAUUGAACGCUAAGACAAAUAUCAACCACCAAAUAUUAGAUUAAAAGAUGACACCGAAUUUGGAUUUAUUUUUCCCAUUUAAUGUAAAACUAUUCAAUUAAAAAGUUGGUUACCAUAACUAAAGAUUUUUUGAAAAAUAAAAAAACUCGAGUAAUAACUUCAUUAAAAGAAUAAUACUCUCACAAUCUCAACUUAUAUAAUUUAGUACAAAUUGCGAGAGUUAAAAGUAAAAAAAAUUGGAUCAAAUUUAUUCGUAUAUUUUAAAAAAUGUUAAAUUAUUAGUUAUAACAUUUAUAUAUAUUCUUUUACGUAGUUCUUAGAUAUAUAAGUUAUUUUUCAAAAACCUUAAUAUUGUUUAUUCGAACGUAAUAUAAAUUUAAUCCUCGAAAUUCAAACUACGUGGUAUAAAUUUAAAAAAAGAAAGAGCAAUCUCCCUUCCAAUUUACAACCAUGACAUGAAAAUCAAAUAAAACCAAAAUCACCUUACCAUCCAACUAAGAAAGAACAAGAAUUUUGCACCAAUUAUAAAUUGCAUUUUUGCUCUAUAGAACCCAAAAGAUGAAGCAUUCAUCUGUAGCUUGUUCAAAUAGGGUAAUUUGGAGAUUGUGUUUGAAAGGUUUGAUUAAUCGAAGUCAAAAUUAAAUGGAGUUCAGUGUUUGAGUUUGAGGACAGUAACAAUGGAGGGUUGCUCCUUGAGGACAGUAAAAUUAAUUUAACAUGAAAAGAAAAAUAAUAAAGAGAGACAGUCAAAUAUAAUACACACCAUAUAAUAAUAAUUUUUUUAUUAUUUAUUUUGAAUAUAUGAAAAUAUAAAAACUAAGAGGCAGGAAGGAAGAUUUCAGUAUGACCUUAACAAACGUUAUUUUGAGUGGUUUGGCAACUAAUAAAGUCGUCGAAUUUGCGCUUCACACAAAGUCUUAUCUCUCGAAUCAGUAGAUGAUUAGUCGCAUUUAUAUAACAUGAGAUGUGUACAUUAGUAUAAUCUACUACUAGACGGGUUAUAGCCGAUCUUUAUCUUAUUUAUCUCAUAUGAUUCUGAUGGGUUUAUUUCUUCAUCUUUUAAAUAGGUAAGUAGAUAAUCAAUCAUCAGCUCAUUUAUCGUUUUUGCUGCAUUGAAGUAACCAGUUACGUCGAGUACACUCUCAAUACUAUAGCCAUGUUGCCUCCGCUCGUACAUCCAUAACCACUCAUCAGAACGGCCAACUUUCAAAUUUGGCCAAAUAGUUCGGAGUUUAUCCCUCAAUGAGUGAUCAACUUGCAUCUGCAAAAAAAAAAACAAUUAUAAAAUCAUUUACACCAUAUAUAUAAUAUACUAGAUAUUAAAACCCGUGCUAACAGCCCAAUAUAUGUUAUUUGCUUCCCUAGCCUCUUCUAUAUAUGAGUAAUAAAUAAUAGAAAAAUAUGUUUUAAAAAUUGAGUAUUUUCUACUAUAUCAUAUCAUAUCAUCAUGAAAAAGUUUAGUAAUUUGUGGGAAUUAUUAAGAAAAAAAUUGUAUUCUGAGCUUAAAAAAACAAAACUUACGACGGCGUAUACUUUCAUGUCCUCUUGAUGUAUAAACACAUUCUCUAGCAUGCCGGGAGGAGGCGUCCGAUACAAGGUGUUUCCAUCAGGCUUCGAGGGCCAGAGACCAUGUAUCGUAAAUUCGAAUAGUGGAGCACUUUUGCAAGUUUGGAUCCUGCAAUAUGUAGCCGGCCACUGCAAUACGAAUUGCAUGUGAUCAUAUUGACUAUUUACAUGAAUAUUAAUACUAAUAAGUAGUAAAAAUAUCAAAGCAUAGGUUUUCAUUUUUAUGUCAAUUAAUUUGAUAAAAGUGAAUGCUACGUAUUGCAUAUGAUCAUAUUGGCUAUUUACAUGAAUAUUAAUACUAAUAAGUAGUAAAAAUAUCAAAGCGUAGGUUUUCAUUUUUAUGUCAAUUAAUUUGAUAAAAGUGAAUGCUAAACUAUUAGUCUUAUAUAGGCACAUGAGAGUAGAUAGGUCAUGGCUUGCAUGCAUAACAUAUGAUGGAAGAGUAGUUAGGUCAUGGCUUGCAUGUGUGACACCCAAUUUUUGACCCUCCCUGAUAGAAAUUAAUUUUUAAGCUUCUUUAAUUUCAAACAAUUUGAAAUAAUUAACUUUACAGAGUUCAAAUAUUUUUCAAGUUACUUUUAAGAAUUUUAGUCACUUUUCAUAAUAUUUUAAAUAAUAACAAUAUUUUUUAUAUAUAAUUUUAUAUAUACUAGUAUAUUUUAUAAAUGAAAAUCGUGUCAAAAGAUUUUACAUUUUAAAUAAUAACAAUAUUUUUUAUAUAUAAUUUUAUAUAUACUAGUUUAUUUUAUAAAUGAAAAUCAUGUCAACAGAUUUUACAUUUUUAGCUAAGUUCUUUAUUAAUUUAGUUUAAAUCAUAAUUACAAUUUUGAAAUGAUUAGUUUGUAUUUUUAAUCUAGUUGAUUAUUUUAUAUCAUUAGGAUUAAGAAGCUCAUUAAUUAGUUUCUAUUAAUUCAUAUUAUCUAUUUAUUUUCUAGCCCAAUCACCAACUAAACUCAUUUGGCUAGACUAUUAAUUUCGAUUGGCUACGAUUGAAAUUCAUACGGUCAUUUUCUUAAUUGCAAUUUUAGUGAUUCCUCAACUAAAUUGUAAAACCAAAAUUUUGGGUCAGCUUCUAUUCAACUCCUCCAGCCCAUUAUCAAUUCCCAUUGCAGCCCACCUAAUUUCAGUCGACCCAAGUGAAGAACCCGACCCGACCCAUUCCAAAGCAAUAGAAACCCAAGUUUUUCACUUCCUCAACGCUACACACAGCAGCGAUCAAACGGAAAGAAACCCAGCGACGUCUCUUUCGGCGUUAAUGCACGGAGACCGGAAAUCAGCGAUGGACGCGUACAACAGUACGCAGUACACUGCGCUCUUUGUCUUCUUCCUCAACGUCCCUGUCGUACAGCAGGAGCAGUUCGCGUGUUCGUCCUUGAGGCUGUGAGAUCGAGACACGUUGCUCGCCAAGGACAAUGGGAUCGAUCCAUCCAUCCGUCUACCUUUCCUCUUCCGGAAUGGUUUGAAACCUCAGGAAAAGAGGUCUCUCCUAAAAUGGUGAAAGAUUUUUGGCAUUUGAAUUUUUGGAAUGGGCCUUGUAUUAUCCGGAUUUCAUCCGUUUUUCCCCCAAAAAAUCGCAAACCCUAAUUUCAUUCUAUAUAAACCUCCUCUUUACUCAUUGUUAGGGGGGGGAUUUUUGAGAAAAAAUAUUGAGAAAGCAAAUGCAGCAAAACUAGCCAUAAAGUAUCUCGAAAUACACUCAAGAAAAAGGGGAGGCGACUAGUUUUGGUUUGGGUGUCCUUCUCCCUUUUUGCUUGCCAUCGUUCGAUCGAGUUCAAGAUUCUGUCCUAAUUUCUGGUUCGUUGACUCGUGUCCGAGUUUCGUGGUAGAAGUCACGUUCCUCUGCUCGAGUUCCUCAUUCCAGUUCGCUGCCCGAAAGAAGGUAAUGAUUUCUCCUUUUGUAAUAUUUUCAUCAUCUUUCCUGUUCAAGUGUGAUGUCAGUAGCCAUGCUUUCGUUUUGUUUGCUAAUAUUUAUUAAUGAGUUCUUGAUGGUUUGUUAUGGUGUGACUUCUUUAAGAGAUUUUAGUGUAGUUGGAUUCCUCUGUUUCGAGCUUAUUUCGUCGUUUUUGUUGCUCGUUUUGGAUAUUCGAAUCUAUAUUUCCUUGUCUUUGAUGUCUUAAGGUGUCAAAAUGGUCCUUCAUUUCUUUAAUGUUGAUGUUAUAAGAUUUUUCUUCUUCAAUCAAGGAAUAAUUCCUCAAACUGUUGAUUGUUGUCUUCUAUAUUGUUUAUUAACUGCAGUUCCGUUUUCUCCAUUUUCUUUGCAACUCUGUGUUUGUCCUACUGCUUGGCAAAGCAUAUUUUAAUCAAAUUAUGUCUUCAUAUUUGUCUAAGUUUCAGUCGAAAACGCCCAUAAUUACAAGUUGAGUCGGUAAAACUCGAGUUUCUUGUUUUCAUUUACUAAGUCUUAGUUUUGUUGGAGUUUCGUCUUUAAGAUCAUUUAAAGCAUGAUUUCUUUGGCAUUAAUCCUUCAUGGGUAUGGUAUAUUGAUUUCUCCAACUUCCAGUGAUUUAGUUAUACCACCUUGUGACUUUCAUUUUAAAGCAAGGAAGCUAGCUCAUGCUUACUUACUUUCUUGUAAUGUGCAGUAAAAGAUCUCGUAGACCAUUGUAUUAGAUAGUGUUGUUAUUAAAUUUUAUCGGCAUCCACAUGUUGAAUGCAGGUCUCACCUAAUUUGCUUACUGUUAAAUGCAUAGGUGGGCAUUAAUAAUUUUUCAGCUUGUCAGUACGUUUUAAUGUUGUUAUUUUAUUUUUUAUGAAUUCUCAUUUCUUUGAUUGAAAAGUUGUCAAGCUAGCAUUUGUUUUUCUUAGGAGUUAAUAACUUGUACCUAUUGUUUGUGUGCAUUCAAUUAUCAUGCUAUUUGAUGCUGGUUGGAUCCCCUCUCAUCCCCAUUUAUAAGUGUGCUACCAAGCUACCAUACUGAUUGUGCUUGUGUGAAAUAGUCAUGGUUUUCCUUAAGUCAUUUUUUGUAAGAUUCGCUAAUUUCCAGCAUAUUUCUACGAUCUCCUCAUAUGCUUGUUAAUUUCCUUGAAGUUAGUACAUGCGUUCUUUUAUAAUUCGGCAUACUCCUUUCAUUAUUCAUUUUUUAUUAGAUCGCAUAUUAAUCCUUUGUUUUUCCUUCUUUAUGAUGCACCCGAAUCCUCAUGGACUCUAUCCUUGCAUUUUUUUAUUGGGCCACGGAGGCCCAAUUCUUUGUUCGAGUCAGCUGGCCAUUAAAAUCGAAGAACAUGUCCUUCAAAAAUUGAUGAACAGGGAUUAGAGCUGAUACGAAUUUCUAUACACUAGGUGUAUACGGAAAAAAAAGGGGGGGUUUAAAAGGCCCACUCCUUAUUUUACAAGUUGUAUUUUGCUACUUUGGGCCUAAUCCCUUGUCAUUUUCAUUAUUAUUUUGUUAGAGUUUAUGACAGAUGAAGGGACAUUGAGCCUAAGGCCCAAAAGAAAAUGUCUUAUGUAUUUUAGACUAAGACAGGUUCAGGUGACUCAAAUGGGCCAAAGGUCUAAAACGAAAAUGGGCCCAAGUAUUGGUCCAGGCGGACAGAAAAACCAAACCUGGGCCCAAAUCUCUUUCCCUCCUUUCUUUAUUGUGUUUGUUUACUUGUCAAUGCCUGCUAUUAAUCUUAAGUUUAUCACGAUUCAAUUUUCCGACAGAUAGUCAUUAUGAACUAAUCUUUUAAAAGUUAACUAAUUAAAUACUCACUUCCUAUAAUUUUGAAACAUAAUCUAUCAAAGUGUUUAACUUAGAUAAUAUCUCAAUACUUUUCCUUUUACCCUUUUAAAAUGGUCUUAACUAUAAAAUAGUUCAAUUUUGCAAUUCAAGUUGAUUUAAAUUAUUUUAGCCAAAUAAUUAAUUGCCGAAUAAUCGCGUAUUAGCGGGCAUUUCGAGUGUUUUCAAAUCUUUCUCGAAAUGCUAAUAAGAACCCCGAACCCCUUUGAAUAUUGUCAUUAGAUUUCUGUUUUAAUCUUUUGAAAAAGUAGUUUCUUGAUUUUUCUUAAAAAUUAAGUGGCGACUCUUAAAACUAGUCUAAAAUAAAUAAAAAAUUAAUAAAACAGCAUGCAUAACAUAUAAUGGAAGAGUAGUUAGGUCAUGACAUACUUUCUGUUAGGUAAGUCAUACCCAUGGGUAUAAAAAAUAGCCCAAAUAUAGGUAAUCCGUUUAGCCCAAUCAGUCCAGUUUAAUCUAUGUUUUCAAUCUGUUUUAAAACUUUUUAUUUGCAUUGAUAUAUUAUAUGUUCCUAUAUUUAAAGUUUGCAUUACUAUCUAUUUUAUAUAUUUUAGGAUUUAUCUAUCCAUUUAUAACUUUUUUAAAAAAAAAUUCUUGAGUUGAAAUUCAAAUUAUGAUUAUAAAACUUAAAUAAAAAUAUAUUAAAAUUAUUGAAAUUAAGCGAGUCAAAUUAGGCGGGUAAAGACCCAACCCGUUUUUAAGCUCAUUCGAGUCCAACCUGUCGCACUCCAUUUCGAACUAGCUGAAACAGUUCACAACAUAAUAUGACUGACCUCUAAUUUUUGAAAAAAAAUGUUUUGUGUUAGAGUCACCACCUAAAUUUUAAGGGAAAAUAUUAGGAAAGCCAUUUUUUAAAUAUGUAAGUGUAAACUCUAUUUUAAUCUGCGAAAUCAGUGAGAUUCUGAGUAAGAGUUUUGGUUACCCGAGGGGAAGGUAUUAAGUAUCCCUCAAAGCUUAUUCGAAGAUAUUCCUUAAACUCAAAUUAGGAAAAUAUAAUUAGGCAAACGUGUUUAUUUAUUUGUUUUAAAAUCAAUGGUAAGUAAAUUUUAUUAUUUUAAGAAAAGAGUAAAAUAUAAGGUACGACAUAUAUAUGUCUAUUAAAUAAACUAAUGGUAGUAUGUUUAUCAUAUAGUAAAAAAUAAAUAAAUAAAUGUACUAAAAAUGCAUGACAAUUUUAUAUGUUAAAAAGUAUAGAUGUGUCUUAUAUAAAUGUAUCCAAAAUAAACGUUGAGUUUAAAGGAUAUGAAAAUUUGUCGUUUUAUUUAUAAAUAUAGAAUUAAGACGUGAAAUAAAAUAAAAUGAGAUAGUCAUCAGGUGCAAAUAUGUAAUAAUGUGUAUAUUAAAGUGUAGAUAAUUAUAAAUUAUAAAAAAAUAAGUAACAUUUGUAAAAGUGAUAGUAGAUAAAUAUAAUAGGUUAUGUAGAGAAAAAUAUAAAAUUCAUAUCUUAAUGUGUAUGACAUAUAUAUGUAUGUACCUUGUAUUUUGAAGCUGUUGACAUAUCUAAAAUCUUGAAAACAGCAUGUCAAGAGAUUAAAAUAUUUUAGCAAUAUGUGAUUUGCAAAAAUAAAGAUAGUAAUAAAUAGUAAAAUAUAAUUUCUUCAUAAAGGGGUGAAUGUCAAAAGAUGUAAAAGUAGGCAUAACUAUUGUGACUUAUCUAAUAACUUACAUUCUUGUUUUAUAAAUUCUAAAAAAUAUGUAUUCUUGUCUUCAAGGUAGUGAUUUUAAUACAUGACUUGCUAUACUUUGAAGCCCCUAAAACGUGAUGUUUUUUUUUUAAAAAACCUGCACCCUUUUAGAGCUAAAAUGCAUCAUUUGGAACCCAAAAUAUUGCCUCUCAAACCGUUUUUUUUGUUCCAAACUACACACAGUUUUUGCACUAAAAAUCUGCACUUUUGAACCUAAAGAUAUGCAUACAUUAAGUUGCUAAAUUUUUAUUUUAACUCUUAUUAAAAAUUCUUAAAUGAAUACAUUCUAAUUUUUUUUUAAAAAAAGAGGGUAUUCUCAAGUUCACUCUUUCUGAAAGGUUAAGCUUUCACGACCAAAGAUAUGUUAAAUAAUAAAUGAACACUUUGUUAGAAAGCGUCGUCCUAAGCAAAACUUUCUUUAUCCAUCACACCAAACGAGGUCUUAAAGUAGUUCAAGCUAUGAAGGGAUCCUAACUAUUUACUGUAGCAUAGGAGCCUUUACUCAUGCACAACAAUCAUAUCACAUAUAGUUUCUGAGGAAGACACAAUUGGUAUUUACACCUAGUUUCUAAGAAGUAAAGUGAGGAUACUAUGGAUACUUCUACAGUGUUAUUAAGUAAAGCUACAAUAGACUUAAUCCAUCUAAUUCACUAUGUACCAACUAUAGCGUGCAACAACAUACUUAAACAUUUCAAACUCUUAUAGGUAUAUUCUUAAUUAAAGAUACGCCACACAAUCAUCCAAAAGCUUAUUCCUUAUUAACACAUAAAGGACUUGAUAAUAAAAGUAAUAGCUAUUCCUUGCCGAUUCAUAGUACUAUAAGACCCGAGAUAUCUCGUUAUUUAAGAUCAUAGAAAAAGGGAAGAUUCAAAUAAAGGAAAAUCUGGUUGUGUGCAGAUCUCCCAGUAAGUAAGUAAUGCACUUUUAGACUUCAAAAAUAAUUCAAACAACCAACAGAAUGUUAUUAUGUGAUCAAGAUAAAAAAACAAAUUCAACUUUAUGGAUAAAAUGAUGUCUUCCUACCUGCAUAUAAAAAAUGUGCAUGCCAAGGAUGUGUAUUUUGGUUCAUGUUUAUUAUUCUAUAUGCUUAAGCUUGGUAAGCACACAUAUAUGCAAUAAAGAGCAAGGUGUAGGUUCAAUCGAAUUAAUCACCCCAAGAUAGGCAUAAAACAGAAGAUGAGAGGAGCUAGGAACGUUCAAACAUUCUUACGUUCAUUCUGUGAACCAAAACAAAAUAAAGGAGGCAAGUAACGAUCUGAUUUGACAACAUUAUAAAAGCAAAAGAAAUAACUUCCAGAGAAGGUGAAACACAAACAGCGAAGUAGAUCAAGAUUAUACUCGAGCUGGUUCGGUCUGCCAUCAAGUUAAUAAGUAAAUGCUUAUUUAGCGUCCUUGGUUUUACGUGAACAUAGGCAGUUUUGUUGUGUGUCAAUACUUUUGAGAGGAAAAGGAAAAAAAAUAUGCAGCCGUCCAAUCCUUUAUAUUACAAAGCUAUCCUAGAAUUCUUCUAACCACUUAGUCGAGAUGUAAGAACAAAGAGAGAAACUUAUCAAAAUUUCAUUAAAAAAAAAACAGAGGAAGUUUUCAGGAAAUCAAAGAGAACAACUGGCCUGGACAUCAAGCAUUCAUAGUGUUUUAUGCCUUUGGGAGUCCCUUUCAUGUUAAACUAAAGGUUGCCAACAUUAAGGUGCCCAUACCAACGAAUAUACCAAAAGAAAACAGUCGGAUAACCAAGAAGAUGUACAAAUAUUUCAAUGAUUCCGCAAUUGGCAGCUGGCCAUGCUUACUAUAAUUUUCACACUUCAUGUAACUUAUACAAUCAGGGACUGCUUCGGUAUAGAUAUCCAGAAUAGGCGUAGAUCAACCUCAAGCGUAAAGAUUUAAUCAAUAAGCACAUUCUAGUAGGUUAUAGCUAAAAUAUUUUUUUUAAAAGUUGUAGUGUUACUGCCCUGCUUAUAUCUAGGAGCGGCAGGACCUAGUUCGCGAGCCUUUUAUAGAGACAUGAAAAGAUUAACUAAAGUGCAAUUCUAUACUCAUAUGAAAUAAGAGUUCUCACGAGUUACACCACCACUAGAAAGCGAGAUAAGCAUCAGAAACAAAAAAAAAAAAAAAAAAAAAACAGUAUGUGCAUUUUAAACAAGACAAAUCAAACUCACAAAAAUUUGAAAAAAACACAAAUGGCCAAACAAAUCAUCCAAAUGCUCAAGGAAACAUGUUUUAGAAUAGGAGAUCAUGGUAACACAAAAGUAUAAACGAUGAGAAUGUUAAACCAAGUGACUACGAAUUCGAAACAACUAAGAGGACAAGAUUUUAAAGUUUAAAACGACAAACAACAGUCUUUGAACCAACAAUAACUACAAAGAGAGGGAGAAACGUUCAUAUCGGAAAUUAAACCAUGACUUUUCAGAACUAGAUUAGACUACAUUACAGUCGAGAAACUCGAACGAGAUUAACAUUUUCAGUGAUUCAUAUAUACAUAUCCUAAAUCGUAUUCAAAUUGAAUAAAGAAUAAGGGAGAUGUAUAUUAUUGUUAAACAGAAACUUAACUGUAGUCAAGUAAAAGGCAAAAUCUGAAUAAGCAGAUUAAGAUUUUCUUGGAUCUUUUUUUUUAAUCGAUUCUUAGAUUUUCUUGCUUGAUUUUCUCCAUGUUUUGUGGAUGAUCUUUGGAAGAGAACCAGAGGUUUGUUUUUAUAGCCGAAUUCAAACUUCCAUUUGGCUUCAAGAAUUCAAAUUUUGAAUUCUUGGGAAGCCAAGUCUGAGGAAGAGCAGAAAAAAAAAAUGAAAAUGGCAGGAAAUCUUCCAAGAAUCGACCUUUUCAGGUCGAUUUGAGAGGAUGAGUGAUUGAGGGAGCGUUUUUCCGGCGGCAUAGAGUCAUUUCUCUAACAGAGGGGGAUGGGGAUCACGUGGGUCGGCCAUCGGCGCCGCUUGCUGCAGCUUUUUCCGGAUUUGCCGGAUUGAUGCGACCUCUUGCUUUUCUUCAAAUUAAAAAUAAUCAUUUUACAAGACUAGCUUAUUUGUUAAAAUUAGUGAUUCUAAAAAUAAAAUUAAUAUAAAUUAGCAAUUCAUUAAUUAAUUAAAGUCUUCCUAAUUUUGAAAAAAUGUCGAAAAAUAUUUAUCACUAUAAUAGAAAUUAUAUUUAAUUAGAAAAAAUCGAGUUAAGCCUUAAAAAUAAUAUUUAUUUGACGUGAAAUUUGAAAAAUGAGAAAGUAAGUAGUAAUAUUCAUAUAAUAUAUAUUUAAUUUUUUAUAAAAAAAUAAUACUUAUGAAAUAAAUUUACCAAAUAAAAUAAAUAAUUAAAAAUCUUUUUGGUAUUCCUACAAAAAUUUCAUAACAUAUAUAUAUAUUCUAUUAUUAUUAUUAGACUUAAGUCAUAUACGAUCCCUUAAAAGUGUUUGCAUAUUUCAGUCAGACACCUUAACAUAGGUCAGUACCUAUUGAACACUUUAAUCUUAACAAAUUUAUAUCUAUUAAACACAAAAUGAAAAUCCGGUGAAAGGCAGAAGUGUGUGUAUCUCAAACACAAAUACAUAGCAGAUAGACCAAUAAAAUAAUGACACGUGGCAAUUAGAUAAAAAAAAGAAUUAAAAAAACAACAAAUUAUUUCCAAUCAACCCCGCCCCCGCCCCUCUUCUUCUUCGUCAAAAUCUGCUGCCAUUUCAAAGCUUUUCACCAUUUUGGAUUUAUAAUCACUUACUACCAUAAUUAUCUAAUAAAGAAUAAUGACUUCUGCUGAAAAAAUAAUCAAUUUAUAUUAAUUUUAUCAAAAAUAUGGAACUUUAAAAAAAAUGCAAAAGAAGAAUAAAAAAGGGUUAGAGAAAGAGAGGCAGACGUUUAGAGGGUGGUGCAGUGAAGAAGUGAAGAAGAAGACAAGGAUUUUCCAUUUUAUUUUUUAUAAUUUUUUUAAAAAAUAAGUUGAAAAAUAUAUAAAAAAAUAUAUGAUUUUUAAUUGCUAUACACGCUCAAGGAGUGUGGAACACACUUUUUUUGCCAUGUCAGCAUUUUGUGUCUAAUAGAAAUGAUUUUUGAAUAUAUAAGGUGUUCAAUAGGUACAAGCCCAAGUUGAGGUGUCCAAGUGAAAUAUGUGGACAAUUUUAAGUGGUCGUAGAUGACUUAAGCCUUAUUAUUAUUAUUAUUAUUAUUAUUAUUAAAACUUUAGUCAAAUAAAUGUGGAGAGCCAAAAUUGGGUGUCAACACAACCAAUUUGGGCCCAAAGUAAAUUUGGGGGGGCCAGGACCCAACCCAAUUUCUAUUUGAGAAAUUUUCACAUAUAGCCACUCAAAAAUAGCCUAAUUACUCUCCAUAACUAUAGUUUGAUAAUUACAAUUCGUAGCUACAUGUUAUAGGGAGGAGAGAGGCGAGCGAGACUGGGAGAGAGAGGAGAGAGGCGAGCGAGAGAGGGUAAAGAGUUGGAGAGAGGUGAAUUGUAUAUGUAUAUCGGUUAGAUAAUUGUAUAUUAUACANNNNNNNNNNNNNNNNNNNNNNNNNNNNNNNNNNNNNNNNNNNNNNNNNNNNNNNNNNNNNNNNNNNNNNNNNNNNNNNNNNNNNNNNNNNNNNNNNNNNNNNNNNNNNNNNNNNNNNNNNNNNNNNNNNNNNNNNNNNNNNNNNCGGAGGAGAGAGAGGGCAGAGAGUGAGAGAGAGGUGAAUUGUAUAUGUAUAUCGAUUAGAUAUUUGUAUAUUAUACAUAUGUAUUUGUAUAUUCUGGCGAAUUAUACAUAUACAAAUGUGGUCAGCCCAUGUAAUUAAUGUAUAAUGUUAGUCGCGAGUGGUAAUUACAGCAAACUAUAGCUAUGAUGAGUAAUUAAGUAGUAUAACUUUGCUUAACCGCGUAAUUUUCCCUUUCUAUUUCAACCCAUGAAUUAAUUUACUUUGGAAAUUUACUUAGCUAGUAGUCAUAUACUACUCUUUAACUCCUCAAUCCAACACAAAGAGAAAAAAACUCAUAAUCCCAGAAGAAGAAAAAGGUAAUUAAUUAUUUACAGUAAUUUUUCCCUUCUAUUUGUUCUUGCAUGUUUAAAAAAAUAAUGUUUUGUUUUGAUGACUACUAGAAGAUGUAUAAUCCAGUAUAAUCUGUGUAUGAUAGUGUAUAAUCUAUGUAUAUCGACUAGAAAAAAAGUAGAUAGUAAAUCAGUCCGGCUAUUUGUGCGAAGAUUCCUAAGAAAAAAUUGUUCUUUUGUUUGUUUUGAUGACUAUUAGGGAAAAUGAUCAUACUUGUAUAAUCCAGUAUAAUAUGUGUAUGAUAGUGUAUAAUUUAUGUAUAUCGACUAUAAAAAAAUUAGACAUCAAAUCAGUCCGACUAUUUGUGUGAAGAUUUCUAAGAAAAUUGAUCAUUUGUUAGUUUUGAUGGCUACUAGGGAAAAUGGUCAUACUUGUAUAAUCUAGUAUAAUAUGUGUAUAAUAGUGUAUAAUUUAUGUAUAUCAACUAGAAAAAAAGUAGACACUAAAUCAGUCCGACUAUUUGUGUGAAGAUUCCUAAGAAAAUUGAUCUUUUGUUUGUUUUGAUGACUUCUAGGGAAAAUGGUCAUACAUGUAUAAUUCAUGUAUAAUAUGUGUAUGUAAACAGUAAAUCUAUCUGGCUAUUUGUGUGAAGAUCCAUAAGAAAAUUGUUCUUUUGUUUGUUUUAAUGACUACAAGGGAAGAUGUAUAAUAUAUGUGUAGUUCAUUUAUUACCUUUAUAGUAUGUGUAUGACAGUGUAUAGUCUAUGUAUACCAGAUAGAAAAAGUAAAUAGUAAAUCUGUCCGACUAUUUGUGUGAAGAUCCUAAAAAAAAUUGAUGUUUUGUUUGUUUUGAUGACUACUAGGAAAAUGGCAUUGACAACUACUACAAGAAAGAAAACAGAGAAAAAAAGCCCCCCAGGGUUGAUAGAUUUUGUGUUUUCUUGGUCUUUAGGGGAUGUGUUGAACAAAGAUCUUUACAAAGACAAGGUUUGAAUAUUUCUUCUUCUUGGAAGUAUUUAUGAAUAGUGUUUUAAGUUAUGUUUAAUGAUUGUUGAAAAAUAUUUAUACAAUCAGAUCACUUAUAUAACUACACUGACUAAGAGCCAAGUAUGCAUAAAGUUUUGUACAAUGGAAGGCAUCAAGUCUUGUUCUAUCUUUCUCUAUUCUCAUUUAACAUAUAUUGAUUUGAAACAAAUAUUCAUUUUGAAACAUUCGUCUUCUCUAGUUCGUUUGUGAUUUGUCAUCUUUUGUUCCCAAAAUGUGUAAGGUUAUGGAGAUUCCUGAGACGUUCUUAUCGAUUGAUCAUUACAUGAAGUCAUUCAUCACUCCACUUAUUGAAGAAACACAUGCUGAUUUGCUCUCAAACAUCACCACAGUUUCACGAGCCCCUGCACUCGAGGUUCUUGAUGUCAGAGAAUCAAAAUAUUUUAAACCUCCAAAAAGUUUAUAUUAUGAUAUUUUGGUAAAUAGAGCUAUGGAGGGGAAGAAAUUUGAACGAAAGUAUAAACCAAUGAACGGAGAUUUGAUUGCACUAUCAGAUGUGUUACCAAGAAGAAUUGAUGAUUUGAACAGACCAAAGAUAUCUUAUCUGAUUGGUUAAAAAGUUUAUUUCAUUUUAUUUUAUGUUAUUUGUUAAAAAGUUUGGUUCAUGUGCAUGAUUCAUUUAAUUUGUCACCUUAUUUCUAAAUGAUUUCAAUAACUGAUAACAAUCUAUAGCUUAAUAAUUCUAUAACGGUUUAGCAUGUUUACAAAUCGAUAACCAAUAAGCUAAAUCGAUAAACUUCAAAACCGAACUGAUAUGAAUCGGUGCAAAUUAAAGUUUUUUUUUUUUUUAGAGAUUUUCUACAUAGUUAAAAUGUUGUCCUUCAAUACUUGUGAUAUUUCAAGACGGCUAGUUUGUCCUUCACUUUUAAUUGAGAUGUGAAUUAUGUGGUAAUAUCAAAAUUCUAGUAGUUUUAGCUUUGACAUCAAAUACAAUUAUAUUAAAACAUAAUAGUAACUCAAUUUAUUUAGUAACUCAUCUAUAGAAAACUUGACAUUCAAGAGAUCACUAUAUAAGGAUACAAUGAUAAAUUUAUUUAAUUUUUUAAGACAUGUGAAAUUUAAAAUGAUGACACAUAAAUAAAAAUGGAGGGAUUAAUAAUUUAUUAUUAACAAAUACAGAUCUAAAUUAAGUUGUUCAAUGUGUACAUGAUAAAUUUUUGUUCUCUUGUCAUCUCUUUUAUUAUUUUAAUUAGUUGAAGAUGAACUUGUGCAAACUAUGAUUUGUCAAAGUUUUGUUCACUUUUUGUGUAUUAAAUAUUAAUCUAAUGGCUUGAGUAAAAAUUUACGUAAAAGUAAGGUAUCAUUCCAAAAAUUCAAACACGUAUGUAUGGGAUAAACAUAAGCCUUUUUGUUAAAUAAAAGUACAUUCAAACUUUUUUUAUGAUGAUCAUUCUCUCUAAUUUUGUUCGUGAAUUUGGACAUAAAAAUUUGAAGUUACUUUUUAAAAAAUAAAAAAGUACUAUAAAUUACAUAGUUAACAAGUUAAAAUAUCUAAAAGACAUAAAGAAAAAAAAUUGAUCAAAGAAAAACUUGAUUUAUUCUUGAAAUUUCAAUUAUAACAUAUAAAUUGAGACAAAGUAACAUUUUACUCUAACAAUUAAGUUUUCUUUAUAAUCGAUUUUUCAUAGUUACCGAGAGAUUGAUUGUAUACCAAAAAUUCAAACAGUCAGGUCGUGCAAUCCAAUGUGAAGGCUGCAUUGAGUUAGCUUUGAUUAAUUCACAAUUGGUCCACUUUGACAACUGUGUAAGUUAAUCCAAAUUUGGUGUAUUUAUUAAUUCCUAGUUGUAUUUUAGUAACUUUAUUUUGCUCUAUAAAUAGCAUAUAUUAAGAGAGGAUAAUAUCCUCAAAUUAAGCAGCAAAUUCAAAAAAAAAAAAAACAUACAAUGGCCUUUUACAAAGUUGGUAUCCUUUCUCUCCUUCUAUUGUCUGGUAAGGCUUCUUUAAUACUCUCUCCAUUCCAUAUUAAUUUAAUUUUUGAGGUGUUUUACACCCUUUAAAAAAAGUAGAUUAAGACAUAAAUUGAACCUAGUUUUUCAUUUUUACCUUUAUUAAUUAUUGUCAAAUUUAUGAUUAAAAUAACUAACUAUUAAUUAAUCAGUAAUUCCAAUACUAACUAAUGAAGGGUAAAAUUGGAGAACACUCUAAAAGUAGUCUUGAAAACUGAAUAAUUAAGUUAAUUUAAAAAAUGGAAAAUGCCUCAAAAAUUAAAUUAAUAUGGAAUGGAGGAAGUAUAUAUUUUGCUUCAUAACCAGCUUUAAGCCAAAGAUGUAAUAUUAUAUAUCUAGGUAUCAAAUGGUCAGGUUAAAUUGAAUUUGAAGAGUUAUAAAAGGGGAACGAGUUAAUAAGUGGACGGGUAAUGACCGAGUAAAAAGUUACGUAAGCUCAUAUGGGUUAAAUAACGGGUCAAUGACCAAUCCAAACUUUGAUCAAGUUUCAAUUUCUAUUUAUAUAUUUUAAUAAUUUAUUUAGCACCUAAUAGUUUUUUAUUAUUAAUAUGGUGGUUUAUAACACAUCAAUUUUUUAUUUUAAAUUUUUUUAAAGAAUAUUUUGAUGAAAUUUUUCAUAGUAUAAUUUGAGUUACGUUUGGUCAAAUCAGCAAAACUUUUUUAUGAACAAAUUUGUUGGAUCAAAAUGAGUUGAGUUAAUAAAUGAGCAGAUCAAUAUAUAGGUUGUGUUGACCUUUGAAAAGUCAAAUGGGCUGAGUUAUUAAAUAGAUCCUUACUUGAGCUAAGAUAGACUAAAUCAUAAUGAGCUAAACAAAUGGAUAAUUUUUAAUCCGUCCAACUAGUAAACAAGUUUUUUAAAGAUACUUUAAUAGAAUUUCUCACAAAUCAAUUUAAUCUACAUGUUUAGUCAAAAUGGGAUAAGCUAGCAGAUCACGCCAGUCAUAUAUAUUUUCAUGAGCUAAUCUUAACGUCCCUAAUUUUGAUUUGUUGCACAUAUCAAGCUUUCAAACUAAAUAUGUAUCUUAUAUCUUUUUUUAUAGGUAUAUUUUUGUUGGGAAUUCAAGUGGAAUAUACAAAUGCCAAGUCAUGUCUCCAAUAUUGUGAUGAUGAAGUGGCCUACAUGACUUGUCCCUCUUCUGGAGAUGAACAAAUUAGUCAAGUUUGUGUCAAUUGUUGCACAGCAGAUGAAGGUUGUAAAUUGUUUAAAACUGAUGGAUCAUUAAUUUGUACUGGAACUAAGGAUUAAUAUAAUUAAGCCAUCCUUAAUUAUCAAAAUGUAUUAUGAUAAAAAAAUAAUAUCUUUAAGUAUUUGUAUAAUUGUACACGUGUGUAAUAAGGCUUGAGUUAUUUAUUCUGGCAAUGAAUAAUAUGUAAUUCUACUAUUUUUCGUUUUAACAAUUUAACUUCAGACUUCUCAUUUAAUAUUUAAUGUGAUGAUUUAUAAAUACAUAAAUAUAUAAGGCUUAAAUGGAGAUUGUAAAAUAGACACUUCACUUCAACGUAUUUGACUAAGAUAGUCAGGUAACUUUAUAUAUAUAUAUGAUUGAAGUUGAGAUAUUAUGUAAAAAGUUUAGAGUUAAACUUUAGAUACAUAUAACUGAUGUUAGGAUACUAUAAGGAUUUUUAAAACAUAAGGGUGUCAAAUGAAUCGAUUAGGCUGAAUAUAAACAAGUUUAAAUGAGCUGAGUUAGUAAAUGGAUGAGUUAAAUCGUCUAAAAUCGAAUCAUUUGUUCGGAAAAAGGGAAUAAAAACAAAAGCGUGGACGGCAGGAUUCGAACCUGCGCGGGCAGAGCCCACAUGAUUUCUAGUCAUGCCCGAUAACCACUCCGGCACGUCCACUUUGAUGUCAACAAAAUUCAUACUUUUAUCUACAACUAUUUCACGGUGGAGCUAGGAUUUUGAGUCUAUGGUUCAGGAUUUUAUAAAAACACACCUUAUUUGGUUUUUGAUAAAUUAUUUAUACAUAUUACAUGAAUUUUUAGAUGCAAAUAGAGAAUUUGAGCAAAUAGAUGAGGUUAAGUUAUAUACACAAUAGUAUAAAAGUAUUAACACAAUAAAAAAUUACUCAAAAGGUAAUUGCAAAUAACUUUAUGUAAUGUUAACCUAUAACAAAUUGUAACAAAUCUGCUAUUAUAACAUGGUGAAGACACAAAAUAUAACGUUAAGAAAUGUCGUAUCUAGUCAUGAUGAAGACACAUAAUAUAACGUUAAGAAAUGUCGUAUCUAGUCAAACUAAGACAGUCAAAUUGAAACGUUAGGAAGUAAUAGAUAUGACAUUAUAUUUAGUGUCACUGUUUACUGUCUUGAAGAUCCUGGUUUAUCCCUCAAAUUCAUUGCUUCCAAUUGACAUGCCAAGUUGUCGUCUUGGUCUCUAUUAGCUGAGCUUCUUCUUGUUGAGAUAACAUUUCCAUCAAUUAGCCAAGUCAUUGGAAAUACAAUGUUUCUGCAGAAAAUGAACAUUGGUGAAGUUAGUCGUAAAGACAACAACUUGGCACGUUGAGACGACUAGACAUGUUCAUGGAGUAUAUAUAUACUAACACAUUUAUUAGGUAACCGGAAUUCUUUUACUCUGUCAGUGUAUAAAAGCUAAAUCGAGGGGAAAAAGGAGAGACAUUAUGUACCGUUCCACACGUUUGUAUUUGCAACGAUUCAUCAUAUCAACUGUAUAUUGACCAAAAUGGAUGUCAAGAUCCUUUGCCAACUUUGGUAUAUAAUAUCCUGGUAUAAUGUCCCAUAUCUUUAGCACUUGAAGAUAUCUCGAGUUCUGUUUCUGAAUAUCGAUUGUCCAGAUCAACUUUAGGUGCUUUACAUUGUAGACCUCCAACAGUACAGAAGAAUUCCCGCUCUUGUUGUUGAACAUGUUGUUCUUUUCUGAGUUACGCCAACCACUCGAAAGCUUCUCCAAUAGAGUCAUCACUUCUUUACUUAUCUCAGCAUCCUUGAUUCUAGCAAUGGAUUUAGUGAAAUCCUCACUAAAUGUAACCUGUUGAGUUAAAACAACAAAGAACAUGUUAUUUCUCCGUUAUGUAGAAUGUACAAAAUGUCAUUUAAUGUUCUGUUUUGAUCUUAAACAUGCCACGUGGAAGACUAAAAGAGAAGUUAAAUAUUCAUCAUAUAUACCUUCCACUUGGCUGUUUGGAAUAAUGGGGAAUCUGUUGUGAGUAACGUUUCUAUAUGCUGAAGUUCAAUAGUCGCGUUCAAACUUCCUUGAUUCAAUCGUUUAUCAUCAGUAACAUCAAAGUAACAACCACGAGCCUUGGCGUCAAUGACCAAAUUCUUCCAUAUGGAACCACUAUUAACCAAAGUUGUUCCAUUUCCCAAUAUCCAAAGGCAGUACCUUGCUCGUGUCAAUGCUACGUUUGCUCUCUGAAGAUUGGAAAGGAAACCAACCGAUCCAUUGCCAUUACAACGAACAGUAGAGAUAAUUAUAACAUCCUCUUCACCGCCUUGAAAACCAUCAACAGAACGUACAUUCACAGAGAAGUCACUCUUAACAUCUGUACUAUAUUUCUUUCCAAGAAUUUGUUGAAUAGCAAAAACUUGAGCCUUGUAAGGAGAUAUACAACCAACACGAAC
rnacentral:lncRNA from 1 species